UCAUUCACCCCCAUGUACGACACUGUACUACCAACCUUCUCUAGAUUUAUGAUAGCCUUGAAGCUGUUGAUGUAUCUCACUGGUAGGGGUCCAGAAAAAUAAUUACUUGAGAGGUCAAAAAUUUGGAUUUUAGAGAAAAAAGGGCUAGACUUGGAGUUAUUGACACACAAGGAACUAUGCAUUUGAUUUGACUUUAGUACAAGAACUUGUAGCUGUAGAAGACUUCCCAACCAAUGCGGAAAUGUAUCAUUGAUCUUGUUGUUACCAAGAUCUAGCACUUCCAGACCUUUACAUUUAAGGAUGGAUGGUGUCAAAGGCCCUUCUAACAGAUUUCUAUUUAAGUUGAAAUUACUCAAUUGGCAUCCCUUUGCAAAUGUUGGAGGAAUCGUCCCAUAAAACUUGUUCUUCUUCAGAUUCAAGAAUUGAAGGCUGUCGCUCAAACUUCCAAAACAUUGCGGAAUUGUUCCACUCAAGUUAUUGUGGGACAAAUCAAGAAUUUGAAGAGAAGUGACAUUGCAGAUUAAAGAAGAGACCUCUCCAUUGAAACUAUUAUUUGAGAUCAGAAACACUUUGAUCGUCGAAGCUGGAAUCGGAAGAUUUCCACGGAUCAAAUUGGAGCUUAAGUCAAGAAUUGCAAUAUUCUUCCAUGGAAAUCGCUCAACUUCUGUCAAAGAGUUAUGUGAUACAUUUAAGUAACUCAAAGAGUCAUUCCCCACCUCUUGCAUCCACUGUGGAAUCUUGCCUUCAAUUCCGUUGUAAGAGAGGUCUAAACUUUCCAAACUUCUAAGCCCUUUUAAAAAUUGGGGGAACUCACUAAGAUUGCAAGAUGACAAAAAUAAGCUUGUAAGAUUAGCAGUAGAAGUAGUACUAGAUGUUAAGGAUAGGCUGUUAUAUGAAAGGCCGAGAUGUUUGAGAUUUGGAAGGUUUGAGAACAUGCUAAACUCUAUGACACCACUAAGAUCAUUUGAGGAUAAGCUGAGGUAGGUAAGAUUGAGAAGUUGGAAUAUUGAAGACGGAAGAGGACCUUGGAGUUUAUUAUUUUUUAGAUAUAAAUAUUCUAAGGAGGGAGCAGUAUACAACCAUGACGGGAGUGUUCCAUUGAGUAAAUUGUUAGAUAAGUAUAAAUAUUUUAGAUUAGGAAAAGCGGUUACCUCAUCUGGAAUGGAACCUUCUAAUAAAUUUUCUGUUAUAUCCAAGAAUUCAAGCUGGGUUAGGUUUAGAAUUGACAAUGAAAUUUGUCCACUCAAUUGGUUCUGCGACAAGUCUAAAUGAGUGAGUUGCAAGAGGUUCCCCAAUGAUCUUGGAAUUGGUCCACUCAAUUGGUUCUGCGACAAGUCUAAAUUAGUGAGUUGCGAGAGUUUCCCCAAUGAUCUUGGAAUUUGUCCACUCAAUUGGUUCUGUGACAAGUCUAAAUGAGUGAGUUGCAAGGAGUUCCCCAAUGAUCUUGGAAUUUGUCCACUCAAUUGGUUCUGCGACAAGUCCAAAUGAGUGAGUUGCAAAAGGUUCCCCAAUGAUCUUGGAAUUUGUUCACUCAAUUGGUUCUGUGACAAGUCUAAAUGAGUGAGUUGCAAGAGGUUUCCCAGUGAUCUUGGAACCGGCCCUAAUAAGUUGGAAUAGUAUAGAACUAAAAACUUCAAGGACACAAGAUUCCCCAUCGAGUCAGGCAAUCCUCCAAAAAUAUCUGCGCCACUAAUAACCAAGUACUCCAAAGAUGAUAAAUUUGUGAUUGAGACAGACAUUCCUUGAAAGAAAGAAUUUCCUGAUAGAUCUAAGUACUUUAAGGCCCGUAGAUUAUUAACUGAAUCAAUGAAUUCUGUAGAGAAGGACAUGGACGACAGAUCCAAAUGUUCAAGAUUGCUGCUCCGAUUGAACUUCAAAGGAGCAAGAUUGAGGUUUGGCAAAUCAAAAAUGUUUUUUGGGAAUUUUCCUUGCAAAUCACAAUCAGCUAGACUGAGAGACCUUAGAGAAGAGGAUAGAUUCAUGAAAACAUAAGCAUUAACAGAAGACAUGUUGAUUCCAUGCAAAAACAGAUGUCUGACCUCGGUUAGGUUGUGAAUAAGUCCCUCCACAGCAUGUUUGUCAAUUGUAAAUUGCUCAUAGUCAUAAAUCCAACAGGAGAGAUCAAGUGAAACCAAUUUUGACAUGUGGGAGACUUGGGAUGGGACCUCUCCUACAAAUCUGGUAUGAGAAAGGUUGAGAUAUACUAGACUUUCAAACCGACCAAACUCAGAUGGAAUUUUGGAAAGAUUAAAAUCAUUGUAGGCAAGGUUGAGUUUUUGAAGGUGAGGAAGAAGGAAAAGAGUGCUAUUGGAAGGGAAGUUGCCAUAUAGCCAACUGCAGCUCAAGUCAAGGGCAAUAACAUGAGCAUUUAGGUGGUCACAAGUGACCCCAUCCCAUGAGCAGCAAUCUGUACCCUCUUUCCAUGAAUUUGUCUUGGGAUAAGAUUUAAGGCCUGUAAUAUGAUCGCAAGACAAAGAAGCAUCCUUUGUUAUGGAAAAAGAGUUCUUGAACUGGAUUAGUGAAGAGCAGGAGUACUGAGAUCCUGAAGAAGCAUAAAGAUGGGGAAAGAAAAGGAGUAGGCAGAGAAAGAGAUUGAAGGCCAUGUUAUGUUUGUAGAGGAAGAUAAAGGAUAGGAGUGGUAUUUAUAGGCGACAAAAAAAGGGUUACAGUCUUUUUUUAUUUGACAUUGAAAAGCUAUGGAUAUUAGAUUUUUAAAAUUUUUGUAUUUGUCCCAAUCAUCAACAACCACUUCCUUUUUACCAUAUAUUUUUCAUUCUUAAAAUUGGCUGCUUUUUUUAGUAAAAUCAUGUAUUUCAUUUGAACUCCCUAAACAACUAAAAAAUUAAGAUUGAUGAGAUUACAAAAUAGAUUGACUUAGUCUUUUUCCUUAUAACAUGUAAAUAAUGUGAGUGUCUAUUCACUUGCUUGUCAACCAAAGCUAAUUAAUAUGGAAAUUUUUUUGUACACAAAAGAAUAAAAUUGUGCUCUAUUCACUACGUUUAGGGAAGAAGACUGUUGGAAAUUUAAUACACCGAUUUCAUAAAAAAGUGUUUACUUAUAUCUAUAUAUAUAUAUAACCUCAUAAUUCAAAUCUAAAAUCUAAUUUGUUAUAAAUUCUAAUAAAUUUAUUUGGGGCUAGUUAUUUUUUAAUCAAGUAAAAAAUUAAAAUCGAAAACCUCAUUAUUUGUUGACGUGUUUACUUUUAUAUAUAUAUAUAUAUAUAUUUCUCUUUUAAAAAAUUAAAACUAAAAAUAUAUAAUGAUUUAUUUGGCAUUUUUUAACUUUACAAACAAAAAGUCAUUUUAGUUUUUCCCUUUUUUUUUUGUGUGUCUCUUUUAGCCUUGAAACUUGUAUAGUUUGUUAAAUCACCUAAAAAAAUGAUGAAAAAGUUAACAUCUGUAUACUAACAAAACUAGCACUUACGUGGCUGAUGUUGACUGUUAGUAGUUAAUGGCAACACCUAAGUGGCUAUUAACAGAUACCACACCAUUGUUUGUUGACGUGACGAUGCCACAUUAUUAAUAAUCGCUGACAUGGUAGUGCCACGCCAUCGCCCAUCGGUGACAUAUUAACCUUUGAGUUCAAUUCAAAUUUCUCUUUCCUUUGUUAUAAAUUAAGAAUAUAACUAAUUUUGAUGGGAAUGGUAACUUAUCAUUAACUCGGUUUAAAAGACUAUAACAGGUAAAGUUUAGUCCUAUUACUGUCCGUGCCACAUUAAUGUGAGACAUUUACAUUACGCAGAAUUCAAAGCAUAUAUGGAAAUUUUGCAGUAUUGACUAUUGAAUAUGCUCUACUCCACAAAAAAGACUAAGACUGUCAGUUGUCUAUUGACUUCACUUGAUGUUACUUCCUAUCACUCUCACCCAAACUUAAUUUACAAGGAACGUGGAGAUUUCAAACAUUUGCAGCACAAAAUACAAUAAUUCAACACAAUUUGCAGUAUUGACUAAAAGCCAUUAAACAUUCAUUAUUGAUUGCAAUUAUAAUUAUAACAUCAUUAAAAGAAACAUAUUAUUUUAAUUUAUUGCUUAAAAAUUCAAAGCGAACGUGGAAAUAUUUCAUGGGUUGGCACUAAAUGUGUGUCAUUUUCUAUUAAUUGCAAGAAAACUACUCGGGAAACUGCAUUUUUAUGGAAAAUUUUUUACUAUAAUGACUUAUUUUGUCCUCUAACUUUAUUUAAGAGAUUAUUUUAGUCCUCUAUUUAAUUUCGAAUAGUUGCAGAACAAAGUCCAAUAACUCCAUACAAAAUAACAACAAUUUGCAAUAUCGACUACGUUUACUCGAGAGGUAGAUAGAUGUGCAGAGGGAAAAAAAAAGACAUGGUUGCUGGAAAUUCUACCUUGUUUGUACAGUCGACUAAAGGCCAUUAAGGACAUCAAUUCCUCUAAUUAGAUAAUACCAAAUGGGAGACCAAUUAGGUUUACUCUUUAAACUUUUAGUCUCAUAACACCAUCAUUGAUUAGUGUCAAAAGUAACAUAUUUUAACCUCAUUCUUAGUACAUUGUUAAGUGAUUAUGUGACAUUAAUUGUGAAUUAUAUGCUUCUAAUCCUUUAUAAGAAUGGAAGCAAGAAGCUACAAGAGGAGAGCACAAAAUUACUUUGAGAACACCAUUGAAGCCUAUUUCCAAGUAAUUUUUCAUCAAGAUUUAAGAGUCUAAGUUGAUUUUAAAGAGAGUUAUCAUGGAUUUUUUUUUUAUUGUAGUGGUUAUAUUGUAUUUUUUUUGUGUUUACUCUUACCAUUAUGAACUGAUUCUCUUAAUACUUAGGGGAGAUGAACCUUAGAAUGAAUUCUAUUAUUUGAUUUAUAUUUUUAUGCAAUAAAAUCUUAGUCUCUUUGUUUUCAAUUAUGAAUGUUCUGUUAUUCUUGGGUUAAUAAUUCUAGAGUGUUAAUUCAUGUUUGAUGAGCAUAAGUCUGGGGUUGAAUAAACCCUUCUUGUGAUUAGAUCUUGCAUAAUUGAAUUGAGUUGCAUGCAAUUCUAUAAAUAAAACGACAUAAAUCUAUCAGAUUAAAGUCAAAUCUAAUUAGUGUAAUUGGAAAGUCAAAUGAUGUAUAUCACAAACGAGAAAUUCUAAUUAGUGUAAUUGGUAUUAUCAAAUGAUGACUUCAAAUGUUGAUCAUCCUCGACCACAAACUAUCUAAGUUUGCAGUGUGAAAGCAGCUACUUCCAUUACAGAAACCUUUCACUGUAUAUUGACUUGGUCUUAUUUCCUAUAACACCUCAUGUUUGGUCAUAGAUGGUGGAAGAUAGUAGAGACUCGAUACAACACACCAUUUGCACCUGCAAUUAAGCUUCUUUAAAAGGAAAUGGGAUCCACCAAUUUUACCUAAACUCACAUCAACAUUGUUAUGGGGCUUUUCAUUUCGUGAAGCACCUAAUAUUUGUCUCAACGUGUUUACUGGUUCCUCAAUUUCACAUCAAUGCAUUCAAUUUCAAAAUAGAUUAAGUUGUUUGGUUCAAAUACCAAGACUGCCAACAUCUAUUGACUUCACUUGGUCCGGCUUCCUCUCACUGUCAACCAAACUUAAUCGAGAAGUACUAAGGAAAUUUCAGUCAUUUGCAGCGUAAUGUACAGGAACUCCACGCCCACAAAAUAAUUUAUAAUAUUUUGGAUGGAUGUUGCGUUUACUUACGACUAGUGUAAAAAUAAUGGUAGCGGUGAGAUUAGGUAUUGUAGCAUGAGACCAAAAGUAAAUUAAACACACCACACCGCACUCAAUCGCCUAUCCGAAUUCACCCUAAGUUUGAUGUGCUGAGAAAAAAAAAGCAUGAAUGAUGAAGAAUUAAAGCCAAUACUUGGUAAGUACCCUAAUUAGUUUACAAGUAAAUAUUCUUGUACUAAUUAUUCAGGCAAACCUUAGCCAAUAAUAAAAAAUAUAUAAUGAUCUAUUAGGUCCUCCAACUUUAUAAAAAAGAAUCAUUUUAACUCAGGGGCAUAAUUAGGGGUUGACAAGGGCCUGCCUGAAAUUACAAUUUGGCCCUCCCUAAAAUUGAUAAAAAUUUGAUUUAAUUAUUUAAAAAAUAUAAAGAUAUAGAGUAUUAAAAUGGUAAAAUUGCAUUUUUACUGUCAUAAAUAUUUAUAAUUUAAUUUCGGCCCCCUAAAAAAUUUUCUGGCUUCUCCCAUGUUUUAGCCCUUCAUUUAAUUUUUCAUCUUUUUUAGCCCUUUAAUUUGUAUUAUUUGACAAUUCACCUCAAAAAAGAUAGAAAAGUUAAUAUUUAUUAACUUUGUUGACGUGACAUCCACAUGACAGUACAUGUGUAUGUAACGUCAACAAUCAAUUAAUUUUUUAAAACUUAAAAAUAUUUUUUAAUAAUUUUUGAAUUUUAAAAAUUAAUUAAUUAUUAAUGUGGCAUUCAUAUGACAAUCCACAAAAAUUAAUUAAUAAUUGAAAGUUGCGUUACAUUAAAAUUAGUUUGUUAGAAUGGAAUUCUAAUAAAUUUAUUUGGGAAUGAUUACUUUUCGUUAAAGUGGAGUCAAUAUUACUUGGUUAACUAUUUCUCUUUUAGCCAACUACAAAAUUCAAGUCCAUUACAAAAUUGUAGAGGGACUAAAUCCCUAAAAAUAAAAUGUAUAGAGAUUAAACUUUAAAUUUACAAAGAGUACAAGAAAUUUGAAUAUAUUACAACUAUUAAAUUUUCCCUCUAUAAUUUAGUUAAAAAUAAAUAAAUAAUUCCCUCAACGCCAAACGUGGAUAAUAAACAUACUAGUUUAAUGUAUAUAUUUGGUACACUUUUUUUUUAGUAAGAGCAUAUCACCACCAUGUCAGCAAUUUUAAGAUGAUGUGGUAGUGCCACAUAUUACUAUUUCUCUUUUGGCUAACUAGAAAAUUAAAAUAGAAAAAAAGAUGAUCUCAUUUCGAAAGACUAUAAGACGUAAAAGUUUGGUCCAACACUGUUAGCGUCUAUUGACUUCAACUGCUUUUACUGUUUGUGUCAACCAAAUUAGAUAACCUGCAAGCAGUGUAGGACAUCUGCAUAAUGCAAAAUUUUACACAAAUAAUAUGAAAUUUUUGCAAUAUUUGACUGUAUACAUUUACUCGAGAAAACUGCGAUUAGGUGAGAAAUUUUCACAUUCAUGCAUUGAAGUUCGAGAUACCUUUAGAAUUUAUUGAAAAAUGGUAAUUUUUAGAAAAUUUGAGGCAUAUUUGUGAUUGGUAAAUGUGGAGAGUUGAAUCAUAAAAUUAUGAGACCUUUAUAAUGGUAAUCUUCUUGUGAAUUGUGUUGAGAAAAAUGAGAAGCAUUAGUCUCAUGCUGGUUGAGAAUUAAGUGUGGGACUUAUAUAUAUAUAUAUAUGUAUGUAAAUCAACUUAGUAGCUAUUUAAUGACUAAAGCUUGAAACUCUGUCUCAUGCGCAAUUGGGGUGCAAAUCUAAACCCAUCGGGGUUGGGGCAUACCCGCACGACAUGGGUGACGCGAAAUGUCCGGACCAAUAGGGCCCAAGAAUGGCAUGCAGAUAUUUUAGCCCAAUACAAAAGAUAUUAUACAGAAUUUGUUUAAAAGGACAAAUAUAUCAAUUUGAUUUUAUUUGAUUCAAAUUGAUUUAAAGGCUCCUCAAAUUUUAUUCAAAUUUAUCUCAGGAUACACAACGAAUUUUCAAACAUUUCGGUGAUAGAAUAAGGCAAUGUUUGUUCGUUGAUCACUACAUAGGUACUACUGCUGCGAUUAUUUUGUUGUUGUAUCCUGAGAGACAGAUGACUAACGCUUCUCCAAUUGUCAUAAGAACGACCAAAUCUAUCUUAAGAAAACUAUGAAAGCAGGUCUCAACAUCUAAUAAAACUCAAUUCCCUUAUUUUAUUUUUGAUUUUUUAAAAUCUUGUUUAUUUAAUUAUUUUUAGAUCUAAUGUUUUAAAUAAAUAUUUAUUUAAUUUGUUUUAUUUAGAUCUAGUAUUUUUACAUAAAUAUAAAUAUUUGUUUAUAUUAUUUGUUCAGAUCGUGCAUUUAAUAUUUAUAUUUAUUCGGUAACGUAUUUUCUCCAACAAAUUUAUCUUUAUAGUGGAUCCACUUUUUGAAUUAUAUUAACACUGCAAAUUAUUCUGAUGAAUCUUAUUGAAAAUUGUUCUUUUGAUGAAAUUGUGGGUCAAUGUUGUUUCGUAAUUUCUCUUUUAACCCAUAUAUAUAUAUAUAUAUAUAUAUAUAUAUAUAUAUCUAUGCAAUGCUAUUGUAUAUAUUAUUGUUACUCAAAUAUGAUGAUAGAUCUAUCGGUUUGGGACAUCCUAUUAUUUUACCUAGAAAUUUUUAAAUUAAAAAAAAAAUAGUUACAUGGAUGGAUUGAAGUUAAAAAUGAGUGACAUCCUCAAUUAAUAUCAAGACUAGAGCAUAAAAAUUAAAAGAUUAUAUCGUCCCUAAGUGUGUAUAAAUUAAUAACACUUUAAAAAUUUUGAGCAAAUACCAGGCCCAAACUGUUAACCUAUUACCUAAACUGUAACAUCUUGAUUUUGUGUCUAGUAGGAACAGUAGUCGAGAGACCACAAAUCCGACAUCAAAAUAUUUUUUUAUUAUUUUUAUGUCUAUAGUAUGAUACUAAAGUUGUGUGAAAUUUUCAUAAAGAAAUUUCUUCGUUUGAGUACUCAAUUUGAUAAAAAGAACUAAAUCGCGUAAGGUGCAAAACUUGAGGUCUAAUUGAUAAAGGCACUAAAUAGUUAUAGAAUUGAAAAGUAUGGGCACUUGCAUGGAAAUUAUACCAAUAAAAAAGUGAGGAGACAAAGAUGGACAUGUAGUAGAUGGAUUUGGUGAAGUUACUAAAAGUUAAAUUGGUAAAUAAGUUAAUAGGAUAAUAAGACAAAAUAGCAAAAGCUAUCAUCUUUAUUUUUCUUCUUCUUCAACCGUAAUAGAAAAAAAUGGAGGGUUUCAUUUGGCCAAGCUUUGGAGCUUAUGUGAGUGGUUUUUGCCCCGUUUUUAAUGAUUUCUAUGUUUUUGGAGUUGUGGUAACUCGAUUUAGCUAUCUCGUACCUUCAUUUUCAAAACUGUUAAAGUUUGUAAAUUUUGCCAUGGUUGAUAAAGUGUGUAUUUUGAUAAUUGAUGAUAGAAAAUACAUCCUUGUUGUUAGAUAAACAACAUUUGUAAAGACCACAGGCAGUGGAAACAACAAGAAGGCCAUAGCCAACCAACAAAACACGAGAACGACCCAGAUGCUAAAAAAAAAAAACACAUGAAUUCCAACAAUUGCAUAACCCCAAUUUCAACACCAAUUAGUUUUACUCAACUCUAAUCUGUAAUUACACUCAUUGUUGAAAUACCAUUACAAUAGAUAAAGACAUAUAACUAAAUUGGUCGAGGCAAAACAUUACACACACUUAAAAAUUAGAUAUAUGCUUGAACAUGGUGAAAAUUCCAAUAACCUUUGGAAUCUCUCAUUCAAACUUAAUAUUUGAGAGAUCAAUGAUGGUCCACAUGGUGAAAAUUUUCAUGAAUUCCCUAUCUUAUAUAUCCUUUAAUAACAAUUCCAAUUGUUGAGAUUUAUGAUAGCCCUAAAAUUGUUGAUGCAUCUCACUGGUAGUGGUCCAGUAAAAUAAUUACUUCGAAAGUUUGGUCCAAGACUGUUAGCGUCUAUUGACUUCAACUGCUCUUGCUUCCUCUUACUGUUAGUUUUCAACCUAAGAAUCUACAAGCAACCAUGCAGAAUUCCACACAAAUAAUAUGAAAAUUUUGCAGUAUUGACUAUAUACAUUUACUCGAGAAAAGCUGAGAUUAUAGGCUUGGAGAUCCUAAUUUUUACUAUUUAAAAUAUUUGUUACCUGAUCUAUUUAAAAACAAAAAUUCUUUUUCAUAUCACUGUGAAAUUUGUGAAUUGGCUAAACAACACCGGUCAUUCUUCCCACCUCAAAAAUAUAAAGCUUCCAAACCUUUUUCGUUAAUUCAUAGUGAUGUUUACGGACCUUCAAGAGUCUCAAUUUUUUUAGGAAAACGUUGGUUUGUCACAUUUAUUGAUGAUCAUACUCGCAUUUGUUGGGUGUUUCAAGAGUCUCAACUUUUUCAAGAAAACGUUGGUUUGUCACAUUUAUUGAUGAUCAUACUCGCAUUUGUUGGGCGUUUUUAUUAAAAGAUAAGUCUGAAGUUAAAAAUGUGUUUCAGUCUUUUUAUGCUAUGGUGAAAACACAAUUUUGUGUGAAAAUAGAAGUACUUCGAAGUGACAAUGGUGGGGAAUUUUUUAGUAACCAAUUAGGUGUCUUCUUAACCAAACAUGGUAUAGUCCACCAAAGCUCUUGUACAAAUACACCACAACAAAAUGGGUUUGCAGAAAGAAAAACCGACAUAUUUUGGAAGUAACUAGAGCCUUGAUGUUCACUAGUCAGAUACCACAUUAUCUUUGGGGUGAACCCGUGUUAACUGCUACAUAUCUUAUUAAUAGAAUGCCUAGUAAAACUCUAAACUAUAGAACUCCUUUCAGUCUCUUUACAGAUAACUUUCCUAACUCUAAAUUGACCACAGAUUUAUCCCUCCGAGUUUUUGGGUGUAGUGUUUUUGUCCAUCUUCACAAUCAAGGUAAACUAGAUCCUAGAGCAAAAAAUGCUUUUUUGUUGGCUAUGCUUCUAGUAAAAAGAGUUACAAAUGUUACAAUCCAAUUGAUUGGAAGAUUAUUGUUACCAUACCUUAUGUUCAUGAAUUCUCAUCAUCACAUGUUUAUAAAUGCAACUCAAACUUGAAUAAUUGAAUAUUUUGUAAUUCUACAUGUAUUUUUUUUAUGGUGAGCAGUAUAAUGUUCACUAAAAAUUGAAAUUCAAGAAAGAAGACAUACAUAGUUGCACCAUACAAGAUGUUACACUCGAACUAAACCCUUACAAAUAGUACAAAUUGCAAUGAAAUACAGAGGAAUUGGUACAAUCAUAAAGACAGACACAUACCAAUGCAACUUUUCACCAUAGGAAAAACUUUCUGACAGACUACUAAACAAGAAAUUAUGAAGACACAGCAGAAAGGCUUUAACUUCAUUUGCACCAACUAGAUCCUUCUUCAUCCAUUGAUGCGAUUGCUAUAUUUUGGUUUUCUUCUUCGCCUCUUCUCAUGUUGGUCUUCAACCAAAUUCACAAACCUUUUCGCCUUACCGGUUUGGAAAACAACACAUCCCAUGGCCAUUCCAAACACUACCCCGCAUCCAUAACCUAUCAACACCACUUUCCAAUCAAAAGCAAUGUAUCGAAAUGGGGUGGGCAAUGGUCGACUCAAAAGCGGCACACAGAGGGUAGAUUUUAGGGUUGGUUAGAUUUUUUUUUAGAAAUGGAGUGUCUGCUAAUAUUUAGGGUUUAUGUUGAGUUAUUUAUGGCGUAUGAAACGACGACGUUUGACGCCAUUUCAGUGGUUUCAAAACGGCGUCGUAUACGGCCGAGAUUCGUGCGGUGACUCGACCCGGGGAGGAUCCGUGUGUUUUCACAUUGGUGGGAUAUCUGUGCUCUAGGUCCUCAAUAUUUGCACUUUGUUUUAAUUCGGUUUCUUUUGAUUCUUCAAAUUGGGCUUCAUAAUUUCUUGCUGACUUCAUUUUAGUCCACUUGCAGCGCUGCGUUUUGGUGGGCAAGGAAUAUUUCCUAUUUUAGUCCCCCAUGUUAUUCAUGAUUUGUAAUUUGGGUCCUUUCCUUUUAUUUAUUUUAGAUUUUUCCCCUGAAUUACUGCUUUAAUGCCAAUUUAGUUCUUUGUUUGUUAUUAUUGCUAUAGAAUUAUUUAGUUUGUUAUUAUUGGUGUUACUAUUAUUAGUUUAUAUAUUUACUUAUUUUUAUGCAUGUACAUUAUUUUAUUAUGUAGUCUUAUUUUAAUUAUUUUUUUAUCUAAUGCAUUAGUAUAUAUUUUUAUGUUAAUUCAAUAUUAUCUAUACAUUUUUAAUGAGUUUAUUUUUAUAAUACAUUUUUCUUAAAAUGUUUAUUUAUAUAUACUUUUGUGCUUUAAAAAUCAAUAAUAUUUUUAUAUAAUACUAUUUUAUAUAUAUAUAUAAUUUGUAUUAAGUUUUUUUAUUAUACAUAUAUAUACCUAAUAUAUCAUCGAUUUCAUAUUUACGUAUUUUUUUACUUAUUUCAUCAUUUAAAACUUUACUUUAUUAUAAACUUGAUUUAUAUCAACCUUUUAUACAUACAAUUAUACAUAUAUUAUUAUAAGAAAUUUUACAAUCCAUAUGUAAUAUUUAUUUAAAUUAAUAUGUAUAUAUUAUUUCAUGUAUUUCGGUUUUCUUCAUAUACAAUACUCACUUUAAAAUUUAUUUUAAUAUUAUUUUUUUCAUAGUAUUUAUAUUUUAUCUUCAUUUUUGACUUAUUUCAAACUCAUAUAUGUAUAUUGUUUAUUUUAAAAUUUUACACAUAGAACUCAUUUUUUGUAUUGAUAAUUUUAAAUUUCCUUGUGUAUGUUUUUUUAUUUAUUCUAAAACUUGUUACAUUUUAUUUGUGUUAAUCUGCUUGUUUCUUAGUUUUUUUAUUAGCUUUUAAAUAUUAAUGUUGAUAUUUACGUGUGAUGUAAGAUUAUUGCCCUAAUGUGUAUUGUAUUGCUUAUUUGUAUUCAUUAGUAUACAUUUUGGCUUAUGAAUUAUCAUUUCACGUUACAUUAUCAUUCCAUCAUUUUUUUUAAAAAGGGGAUUACGUUUAAUUUAAGCACUAAAAUCGAUUUAUCCAUAAGAUAACGCAAUACUCGGCAUUUGAGAUCUUCGAGCAGAUUGAGUCCUAACGUAUUGGGUUCCAAUUUUCCUUGUUGAAUCUAAAUAAUCAAGAAUAUUCUUUAAUCAAAACACAUAAAUAAAAAGCUCAUUCUCGGGAAUUUGAUACGUUGUGUCCUAACGCAUUGGAUAUGGCAUAUUGUUUUCUCGAGAUGAGGAUUUUUUUCUAAAAAAUAAUAAAGGCAAUAUUCAAUGUUUGGAAUUUUGAGAAAUUGUGCCCUAACGUAUUUGGUUUCGAUAUUUCAUCUGACUUAAACAAUUGAAUAUCCUUUUUAAACUUCACUGCAUGAGUUUUAAAAAAAAAUCAAAAGACAAGCUCAUUUUUGAGGAUGCGAAACAUCACAUCCUAACUCAUUGGAUGUGACAUUCUAUCUCCCAAAAUGAAGGGGGUCUUAGCACGCAUUUUGAUUACAUUUGAGCUCCCUAAACAACUAAGAAAAUUAAGAUUGAUGAGAUUACAAAGUAGAUUGACUUAGCCUUCUUCCUUAUAAUACGUAAAGAACGUGAGUGUCUAUUCACUUAGUAUGUAUGGCCGUCAAGCAAUGUAGAAAUUCGCACACAAAAGAACGAAAUUGUGCACUACUUAAAAAUUCAAAGCAUGUGUGACCUAUAUUCAUUUAUUUUAUUGCAUAAAAUUCAAGGCAUGUAUGUUGAAUAAUUUUAUCCAAGAAGCAUAUUUUCCACAAAACUUUAAUUUGUUGCCAUUAAAUAUGUCAUUUUCUAUUAACGGCAAAAAAACUAUCCGGUAAACCGCAUCUUUUUCUUUAGAUGAAAUUUUGUAAAAAAAAUUUGACAUUAUCACUAAUAUGGUCCUUCAAUUUUAUUUUUUUUAAAAUCAUUUUAACUCUCGAUUUAAUAUUUCGCCUCUUUGAGCUUUUAAAUUUGCGUUAUUUAUCAAAUUAUCUCAAAAUGGAUGAAAAAGUUAACAUUUGUUAAUUUUAUUGACGAGACAUACAUAUCGAUAUCAUAUAAACAGUUAAUUGAUUUUUUUAAAAAUUUUUAAAAAUAAAGCAUAUAUUAAAAUUUUCUAAGAAAUAAUGACCAAACUUGGAACAAUCGCAGAAGAAUGUCCAAUAAUUCCAAACAAAUUAACGCAACAUUUUAGUUAUUGUCUACUGUCCAAUAACGCCAUGUGUAUUAGUACAAACAUUCAUUAAACCUAAUUUAAUUUUAGCCCUUAAUUUAAUUUUUCAUCUUUUUUUAGCCCUUAAUCCACAUUGUUUAUCAAAUAACCCUUAAACUUACAUUGUUAUCAGAUGAAAAAAUUAAUAUAUAUCUAUUAACUUUGCUAGCGUGCAUAUAUAUGCAACUUCAUUUAAAUCUAAAAAAUAUAAAAAUUUAUUAAAUAUGUAUAAAUCUAAAAAUUUCUUAAAAUUAAAACUAAAUUUUUUUAAACUAAUGCAAAUUUUUAGUAUUUAAAAAAUCUUAAAAUUUUUAAAUUAAAUUCCUUUUCUUUUCCAGCGUUGAAGAACACCUUCAAUCACAUCAACAACUUCAUGCUGUUUUGCCUAGAAAUUGUUUUGCAAAUUUAUUUUGUUUUAUUUAUUUCUAAACCCAUAUUUCUUUUCUAUAACUCUAAUUAUUAGAUUGUUUAGGGUUUUGAGUAACUUUCGAUUUUGGAAUUUUAGAUUUUUUAAAUUUAAAUACGAAGUGCUUUUCUUCUUCUCCAAACCCAUAAUUUUUUCUGCCAAAUUUCAACUCAAGGUUUCACUUUUAGCUAUAAAUAAAACAUAUAUUAUAUUUAUAAUGACCUAAGAAUAGUAAAGUUGACGCCGAUCUACAUGAAAAAGGAGGAAAAAAAAAACAGGCAAAGAAAGAUAAUAUGAAGAGAGCAUAAAUCAAUAAAGCAAAUGAAAAACAAGUAGAAUUAAAGUGAAUGAGUAUUUAAUAAUUUUUUUGUGAAAAACGAGUAGAAUUAAAGUGAAUGGGUAUUUAAUUUUUUUUUUUGUGAAAGUUCAAAGACUGAAUAUUUAUGAGCUUGGAUGUGGAAAAAUUAGUUGGAAUUUUUUUUUUCUUGCACCAAUUGAUUUUUUAUAUAAAAUUUGUAUUUAUUUUUUAAGAUUUUUAAAUUUUGUUACAAUUAUUUUUAUGAAAAUUUGAAAAUAUAAAAAUACUUUUUGAACUAUAAUUCAAGGAUUAAAUUAGCUAUUAAUCAUUUGAAUAAAUAAAACAUAUACAUGAAUUAAGUAAUUAAUCCACAAGCAAUGUUGGACAUUUUCAUAAUGCCAAAUUUCACUUCAGAUUUAGUUACCCAUAAUCAUAUUUAAACAAACAAAAACACAACAAUCACACAAAAUAGGCAUAACUAGAAAACAUGAGAAAAAUGAGAAAAGCUUGAAAACAAUUACAAUGGUAGCAAAGGAAAUGUAAAAAAAAAAAAAAAACACUUAAAAAUCAGAUUUUUAAUGAUGAAGGGAAUUGAUUUAUACUAAAACCAAGAAUUAAACUAAAAAUACAAAGAGUUACAGGUACUAAACAAGCAAAUAAAUCCUAGCUACAAUGAUAAUUAACUUAAUUAACUACUAUUGGAACCAAGAAAAACUAAAAGAAAACAUGAAUUACACCCUAGAGUUAUGGAGAAGAAAACAAAAACUCUAAAAAUAAAGAGGAAAUUUGAAAACCAUGAAAUGUUAAGUGUGCCUUUUGUUCAGCCAAUUUUUUGCCCUUUCUAGAAUUACAGAUCCAAAAAUAGUGACCAAAUUGUCCUUGAUCGUCGAAUUUUGGUUAGGGGACAUGUUGGAAAAGGAUUAGCCCUACGGUUAUAUUUUGUCUUCUCUCAUCAAUGAUAUUGCGAUACCCAAAUUUGGUAUCGCGAUAUCCACAACAGUCUUGGGGAUCCUUGGGAGUUUUGGGUAUCGCGAUACCUUACGACCGGUAUCAAGAUAACACUAUUGAUGGCUCAAUCUUCCUUGUUUUUAACAUUGUUAUGGGUAUUACGACUUUCAUGCUUUGAUAUGCGAUACCCUCUUUCUAGGUGACAUUUUUGCUCCUUUCGGGCCAUGAUGGGCUCUCUGCAUCACUCACCAACCUCAUUAGAUUCCCCAGGUGCCAUUUGGCCAUCUCAGGUCUCAAAAUAGCAUCAAAAUGCACACUAACCAUUUAUUAAUAUAAAGAACUAAAACUAAAUAAAAACACAACAAAGAUAUCUAAAUUGCUCGAAACUAAGCUUUUAAGUGUGAUGGAGAGCCUAAUUUGACAUAUCAAUUUACAGCAGAUCAUAAACAUAAUUUGCGGAACCUUGUUAAAAUUUCGGAUUUCUUUAUUAGUUUUUCUUUCAAUAUUUUAAACGGUACAUUUGUAGUAAUAUAUUGUGCAGAUCAUAGACUAAAAUGCUUUAUUAGUUUUCUAUUGUUAAUCUCUUUUUUUUCUUAUUAUUAACACCACUUCCUUUUUACCAUAUAAUUUUUAUUCAUAAGAAAGAAGUGAAAUAAUUAGAAUGAAUGAGAUUACAAAGUAUAUUGACUUGGACUUGCUUCCUUUAUAUGUAUGAAUGUGGAAAUUGGCAUAAUGCCAACUUAUUUUCCACGCAGAAGAAGAAAAUGGUGCUCUAUUCACUCAGUUUCUAACAACACCAUAAUAACAACACCAAUUUGAACUCCCUAAAGAAAGAAGAAGUGAUGAGAUUAGAAAGUAUAUUGACUUGGUCUUGCUUCCUUUAUAUGUAUGAAUGUGGAAUUUGGCAUAAUGCCAACUUAUUUUCAACGCAGAAGAAGAAAAUGGUGCUCUAUUCCCUCCCUUUAACUUAGCAACUAAGGUCUAGCAAACAAGGCCACAUAUGACUUAGAUAUAUAUAUAUAUAUAUAUAUAUAUGGUCCCUAAGUGUGUAUAUAUUAAUAUAUUUUAAAGUAGACAAACUUAUGCCUUAAAAGUUGAAUAAUAGUAUCUAAGAAACAAAUUUUCCACCAGACUGAAAAUUUUGUAUUGCUUGGAAUUAAUUGACUGUCAUUUUCUAUUACUUGCUAGAAAUAUAUUGUAUUGCUUUAAAUUCAAACAAGAAAUAGGGGAAAUUUCACAUCAAUGCAUUCACUUCACUUGGUCAACUUGAUCGACUAGCAGGAAGGAAAUUUCAGUCAUUUGCAGCAUCAGAAUUCCACACCCUCAAAAUAAUUUGCAAUUUCAAAAAUAGAUGAAUUAGUGUGGUUCAAAUACCAAGACUACAAUAUCUAUUCACUUCACUUCGUCUUUAUUACUCACACAGAAUUUAUCAUCAUCAUCAUCAUCAUUAUAUUACUCUUUUAUUGUUAUUUUUUAUUUUUUUCUUGUUACUUUUAUUUGUUAUUAUUAUUAUUUUUAUACUUUCAUGUUUUCUUUUUCAUAUAUUCCACCUUUUAUUUGUUUAUUUAAUUCUUUUACUUAAUUAAUAUUAGAUUUUAUUAGUUGAUGUUAUUACUUAUUUAUUGUUUUUGAUAUAUCAUCGCUUCGUUAAUAUGCACCAUCAUUUUAUUAUUGUUACAAUUACGUCACGAGCCGUUUUAAAUGUAUUCAUGCUUUUCUAAUAUGCCCCGAAUAAAUUAAAUACCUACCGUUUUAAAUAUUACAUUAACUUUUAUGCGAUACCUAAAAAACGAAUUUUUUUUUUACCAAGACAAAUGUUUGUUAUUUCAAAUUUAGAAAAAUCAUGUUCUAACUUACGGAAUAUGGUUUCCUUCUAAAAUUGAGAUAAUUGAAUAUAUUUUAAAAUAAAUAUUAUUUUUUUUGCAUUUGUUCUCGUUUUCGGGAUUUAAGGCAUGGUGUCCUAACUUACGGAACGUUAUCCUUUUUCCCAAUUAAUUUGAAAUAAAUCCAUUUUUGUGAAAACAAAAUUAAGUAAUAUUGUAACGAAGGAUCGUAUUUUAAAAUCUCUUCAAAUUCUCAAUUUUUGACACUAAGACAUUAAUUAAUUAAUCAAUUAGGUACUAAUUUUGGGCGGUACGAGGGUGCUAAUCCUUCCUCGUACGUAACCGACUCUCGACCCAUUUCCUGGAUUUUUGUAGACCAAAAAUUGUUGCUUCAGUAAAUCAAAUCUUUUAUUAAAACGAUUAAAUUGGAAAGUGAUCCGAUCACACCUAAUAAAAAGGAUUGGUGGCGACUCCCAUUUUCGUUUUCAAAAUAAAAGUCGACCCUUUUCAAAAAUAGUUUCGACAAUGUGUAACAAGUAUUUUUAUUAAUCCAUUUGGAACAAGAUUUUGUUGUCUAAUGUUAAGGUUUGCUGGAGCAAAUAAAUUGAUUAAUGCUUUGAACUUUCCCAAACACUUUUUAUAGUUUUGUUAUAUGCAUUUUGUAUAAUUAGUAUAUUUGAAUAUAUUAGAUACAUUGUCUAAAACAAUGUCAAUUGUAAUUUUUUAUAUUUUAUUGAUCAUAAGCUUAUUAUAUAAAUAAUAUUUUUUUAAAAAGAUGGAGUGAUACAUUUACGUAGUGCUUAUGAAUAUAAUGUUGGAUUAAAAUCCUUAAUUCUGAGUACAUAUGUAUAAUGCUUGAAAUUACAAUUAUCUUAAUAAUUUUGUUUCUGUUUUUGUUGAUUGAUGAUUAUAAAAAUCAUUAUUCUUCUGAAGGCAUGCUUUGUUGUCAAUGACAGUACCUGCACCCUAGAAAAAUCACCAGCUUUAACAACUGUAAGAGUUGUCCUGCCUGACAUUUACUAAAAAAUCACCAGGAAGCACAUUGUCAGGAGAUCCUUGCUGGAAAAAACUUGGUAGGAUGGUUUCUUUUUCUGCAAACUUAGGAUUUCAAUUGAUGUUGAUGCAACAUUUUAGAUCAAGGAACUUGCAAGCCUAUUAUGGUAGAAAUGUUUUAUCCAAAUGAUAAAGAUGUUGAUGCAACAUUUUAGAUUGCAAAUUCCUUGAUCACAUUUGGAAUCCUAAUCACAGGGACUUGCAAGCCUAUUAGCUCCAGGAACUUUAGAUUGUACCUGUUCAAAACAUUUUUUCAAAGAAGGAACCAUAGGUGAAAGGCGUCUAUUCUGGUUCAUCUCAUUGAAUACAUCAAAUGAAGGAUCAAUACGCUGAAAAAGGGACAAUGGAAAGAACUUUAGCCAACAACUUGAAUUUUAUAACUACUCCUAUGCCAACCAGCAAACCAUAACAGCGUGUACAUAAAAAAGAGGAUGCUGACUUACAAUUCCUUUCAUUUCACCACAACCAAUCAAAUCCCUUGCAAUGCUGUUUGGAUCACAGCAGCUCAUCUUUCAAUCCUAGAUGGCUCCGCCAAUUUUUUGAAAGCAUACAUAAACUGUUAAAGAAAUAAAUGGAUAAAACACCUACAGGAUAGAAGGCUGAAAAAUUACAAAGGGCAAUGACCUUAUUGUUAAAAUUCCAACGUCCAUUCCUUGGAAAGAUAUCUUACACCAUUGCCCACUCAAGAGAACUCAAAUAGCAGCAAGAUCUAGUAUAAAAUGUAACUCUCAACAACAUACACAAAUGUUUGUUCUAUCAAGGAACAACAUACACAGACAUAUUCACCUACCCUUGGUGCUGGCAGAAUAUGCCCAUUCACUUGGGUGAAAUUAGAGUUGAUAUUAACCCCACAAGAUUUCAGCACCAUAAUUACUGCUAAGUAAAACCUGCACAUAAAUUUUCAGCGCUAUGUAUACAUUGUGUCACUUGCAUCCAAAUCAAAUAUUUCGGGCUACAGAGUUUCAUAGAUAUGACGAAGGUAUUAUCGGGGGAUUGUACCAUGUAUACCUGACACGAAGGACCUACGACUAUGGGAGAUCUCAAGCACUUCGUUUUCCAUGCGCACAUGCAAUUGCUGCAUGUGCCUCAACAUGUCUGGACUGCAUGAGCUAUGUUGACGAUGUGUACAAACCAAAAUGCAUAUAUAAAGUAUGAAAAUUUGAAUUCCCACCAGACCCAAAAAGCCUACUGGAUUUUGGUCGGAUACGCAACAAUAUGAAUAUUUGGGAGAAGAUUGACCAACCAAGGUUAUACAAUUAUUGUAGGAACGGCCUGGGCAUAGUAAGUCAAGAUGUCCACAAUUGGGGGCAACAUUGAGGAGAAGAACAAAUUAAAACAUUCGAUCGUUUUUUUUUGAAUAAGCAUACAAGAAAAAACAAAUAAAUUUUUUCAUUUUUUCAUUGCUUCUCAGCUUUUGGUAAAUUGUAAAUAAGUAUAUAUAAUUAAUGUAAAAUACAAUACAAUACAAAACAAUAUAAAUACUUUUUUUCCUUUUUUUUAGAUUGUAAAUAAGCUUAUUAUUGAAAAGGCAUACAAUAGAAUACAAUAGAAAUAAUUUUUUAAUUUUUUCGUAGAUUGUAAAUAAGUAUACAUUAUUGAUGUAAAAUAUAGUUGAAAAUACUUUUUUGAUAAAAUUGGAAUAAACACAUUAUGGAUGGAAAUUUUUAAUACAAUACAAAUUGAUCAUUAACAAACUAAAUGACGAUUUACAUAAGAAAAAUUUAAAAUAAAAAAAUCAUCAGCUUUGUUGGCCCGAAUGUGUGCCACAACCCGGUGAGUGUCAGUUAUGAGUAGGAUUUCAUCGUAGUUGGGGUUCUAGCUCUUCCUUAUCUUCACCUCCACCUCCAACUUGAUCUUCACCUUCAUCUUGUUCCUCUGUGCUUGUAUGCAUUAAAUUCUUGCAAUACAGGGGAGAGAAACCUAGUUUUCCCGUAAGCUUAUUAUCAAAAAAGUUGAGCAGUUUCAGGUUCCAGCAAAUGGAAAGGGGCUCAGCGAUCUUACUCAGCCAAUAGUGAGCUAAGAAAUCUUUAAUGACAAUAUGGGUGCGGGUUUUCGAGGAAUACAAAUAACCUCUGGGUUUUUUUUCCAAAUUUGACAAGCAUCUAGAAUAACUAGUGAAUUACAAUUCUAUUGUACCACAAUAGGUGCAUUGGUCUUUGCGGACUUGAUGUUUUUUGCCUGUUGGUUCUAUUAUCACAAAGCAAACCCAAAAUUGGCUUGGUUCCGAGAUGUAGAAUCUAUAUUGAAUCACCAUUUAGCAAGGCUACUGGGGCUUGGUUACCUUUCUUGGGCGGGGCAUCAAGUACAUGUCUCUUUACCAAUAAACCAAUUUCUAAAUGCUUUAGUAGACUCUAAAGAGAUCCCACUUCCCCAUGAAUUUAUAUUGAAUCAUGAUCUUUUGGCUCAACUUUAUCCCAGUUCUGUCGAGGGAACAACCCCAUUUUUACCUUGAAUUGGUCAAAAUAUGCGAAAUUUCUUACUAUUCGUGGAUGAUUAAAUCCAGUGAUUGGGGGUCCAUGGUUGACUGGCAUUGCACACCAUCAUUUAGCUAUUACAAUUCUUUUCCUAAUAGUAGGUCACAUGUAUAGGACCAAUUGAGAUAUUGGACAUAGCCUAAAAGAUAUUCUAGAGGCUGUUAACCACCAGGUCGGAGGUUCAAGCCCACUUUGUAGCGUUUCACUUUUGGUAAAAUUUCAUCCUUGGUCCCUUUAAAUUCCUUUUUGCUUUAAUUUGAUUGCUUUCUAGACCAAGAAGCAGACCAAGCUGUAAGAGCCAUGCAAGCUGCACCUGAAGCUUAUGUUGCUGUUUUGUUACUUUCAAAUAGAUAUUUUAUUACUUACUUAGAUAUGAACUAAGUUGUUGAUAUGCUUGAACUAAUUAGGUGCUGAUAGAUUGAUAAAUCAGCUUUACCAAGUGUACAAGCAAUGUUUAUCAAGUUACUAAGCCACUUAGUGGAGUUAGGUAUGUGUUUAGGUAACAUUUUCUUAUUUUUGACCAGCUGAUUGCUUAGUAUAUGUAAUGGCAUUGUGCCUUCAUUCAAAUGUAAUGAAAUCUUUCAGAAAAUUCUUCUUCAUUUGGUCUUUACUUAAAACAUUUUUAUUCACAAAGCUCUUGCUGUUUUUGUUUUGUUUGUUGAGCUAGAUAUCAAUGCUUUAUGCUUAAGUUUCUGUCAAAAUUUCUAAUUUUGUUUUCUUAGUUCCUACAGACAUUUUGUUCUCCUUUCUCCUUGACUGAGCAGUAGCAAAGAUUAUUGAGACUAAAUUGAAAUCCAUGAAAGAAGACAUAAACAACACCACCAUACAAAAUGUUACACUCAAACAAACCAUUACAGAUAGUACGAAAUGCAAUGAAAGACAGAGGAAUUGGUACAAUAAUAAAGACAGACAGAUCCCAAUGCAACCCUUCACCAUAGGCAAAACGGUCUACAAAACAAGAAAUUAUGAAAAUACAACACUAAUUCUUGAACAUCAUUUGCAGUAAUUAGAUCCUUCUUCGUCUACUGCUACGAUUGCCUUUCUUUGACUUUCUUCUUCGCCUCUUCUCUUGUUGGUUUUCAACCAAAUUCACCAACCAUUUCGGCUUACCAGUUUGGAAAACAACAUAUCCCACGGACAUUCCGAACACCACUCCGCAUCCAUAACCUAUCAACACCACUUUCCAACCAAAAGCAAUGUUUGAUUUUGAGCCAUCUUUUUCAAGCACAUUUGGAGGUGCUGGCUCAAUGAUGUUGCAACCUUUCGAGACCGGAAAUCCACAUAGUCCCUUAUUCCCUUCAUAUGAAUCAUUUCCAAAUGUGUUGAAUAGUUUGCCUUGAGGAAUCUGACCAUGGAGUUGAUUUUCAGAAACAUUUAAGGACGAAAGAAAUGGCAGAUCUGCCAAUCUAUUUGGAAUCAUCCCAGACAACCUGUUUGAAGAUAGGUCCAACCAUUCAAGACUUGUCAAAUUCCCUAUUGAGGUGGGGAUAUCACCAUUAAGGUUAUUAUGAGAAAGGUUGAGCCCUUUCAGUAAGUUAAGCUUCCCAAUAACCUUUGGAAUACCCCCUUCAAACUGAUUGUUUGAUAGAUCAAUGAUCAUCCACAUGGUGAAAAUUUUCACCAAUUCCAUAUCUCUCCCUUUCAUAACAAUUCCAAUGGAAUAGGUAUAGAAGUCACCUCCAUCAUCAUUCACCCCCAUGUACGACACUGUACUACCAAUCUUCUCUACAUUUAUGAUAGCCUUGAAGCUGUUGAUGUAUCUCACUGGUAGGGGUCCAGAAAAAUAGUUACUUGAGAGGUCAAAAAUUUGGAUUUUAGAGAAAAAAGGGCUAGACUUAGAGCUAUUGACACAUAAGGAACCAUGCAUAUGAUUUGACUUCAAUACAAGAACUUGCAAAAAUGGAAGACUUCCCAACCAAUGAGGAAAUGUAUCAUUGAUCUUGUUGUUACCAAGAUCUAGCACUUCCAGACCAUUACAAUUAAGGAUGGAUGGUGUCAAAAGCCCUUCUAACAGAUUUCCAUUUAAGUUGAAAUUACUCAAUUGGCAUCCCUCUGCAAAUGUUGGAGGAAUCGUCCCAUAAAACUUGUUCUUCUUCAGAUUCAAGAAUUCAAGGCCGUAGCUCAAAUUUCCAAAACAUUGCGGAAUUGUUCCACUCAAGUUAUUGUGGGACAAAUCAAGAAUUCGAAGAGAAGUGACAUUGCAGAUUAAAGAAGAGACCUCUCCAUUGAAACUAUUAUUUGAGAUCAGAAAGACAUUGAUGGUCGAAGCUGGAAUCGGAAGAUUUCCACGGAUCAAAUUGGAGCUUAAGUCAAGAAAUUCAAUAUUCUUCCAUGGAAAGUGCUCAACUUCUGUCAAAGAGUUGUGAGAUACAUUUAAGUAAGUCAAAGAGUCAUUCCCCACCUCUUGCAUCCACUGUGGAAUCUUGCCUUCAAUUUUGUUGCAAGAGAGGUCUAAGCUUUCCAAACUUUUAAGCCCUUUUAAAAAUUGGGGGAAUUCACUAAGAUUAUUUGAGGAUAAAAGGAGGUGGGUAAGAUUGAGAAAUUGGGAUAUUGAAGAUGGAAGAGGACCCUGGAGUUUAUUAUUGUCUAGAUAUAAAUAUUCUAGUGAUUUGGAUUGGAAUUCUUUGAUACGCCCACUGAAUUGAUUUUGAGAGAGAGAUAUUGCCUUUAAGGAGGGAGCAGUAUACAGCCAUGACGGAAGUGUUCCAUUGAGUAAAUUGUUCGUUAAGUCUAAGGCUAUGAGAUUAGGAAGAGCGGUUACCUCAUCUGGAAUGGAACCUUCUAAAGAAUUUUCAGAUAUUUCCAAGUAUUCCAGCUGCGUUAGGUUUAGAAUUGACAAUGGAAUUUGUCCACUCAAUUGGUUCUGCGAGAAGUCUAAAUGAGUGAGUUGCAAGAGGUUCCCCAAUGAUCUUGGAAUUUGUCCACUCAAUUGGUUCUGUGAGAAGUCUAAGUGAGUGAGUUGCAAGAGGUUCCCCAAUGAUCUUGGAAUUUGUCCACUCAAUUGGUUUUGUGACAAGUCUAAAUAAGUGAGUUGCAAGAGGUUGCCCAAUGAUCUUGAAAUUUGUCCACUCAAUUGGUUCUGCCACAAGUCUAAAUGAGUGAGUUGCAAGAGGUUCCCCAAUGAUCUUAGAAUUUGUCCACUCAAUUGGUUCUGCGAGAAGUCUAAAUGAGUGAGUUGCAAGUGGUUCCCCAAUGAUCUUGGAAUUUGUCCACUCAAUUGAUUCCCCGACAAGUCUAAAUGAGUGAGUUGCAAGAGGUUCCCCAAUGAUCUUGGAAUUUGUCCACUCAAUUGGUUCCCCGAUAAGUCUAAAUGAGUGAAUUGCAAGAGAUUCCCCAAUGAUCUUGGAAUUUGUCCACUCAAUUGGUUGUCUCCCAAGUUGAGGAGAUUGAGGCUUGGAAAAUCAAAAAUGUUUUUUGGGAAUUUUCCUUGCAAAUCACAACCAGCAAGACUGAGAGACCUUAGAGAAGAGGAUAGAUUCAUAAAGACAUGAGCAUUAACAGAAGACAUGUUGAUUCCAUCCAAAAACAGAUGCCUGACCUCGGUUAGGUUGUGAACAAGUCCCUCCAGAGCAUGUUUGUCAAUUGUUCUUUCAUAAGCCGGACCGGAGAGAUCAAGUGAAACCAAUUUUGACAGGUGAAGACUUGGGAUGGGACUUCUCCUGCAAAUUCUGUAUAAGAAAGGUUGAGGUAGAAUAGGCUUGUAAACCGACUGAACUCGGAUGGAAUUUUGGAAAGAUUAAAGUCAUUGUAGGCAAGGUUGAGUUUUUGAAGGUGAGGAAGAAGAAAGAGAGUGGUAUUGGAAGGGAAGUUGCCAUAUAGCCAACUGCAGCUCAAGUCAAGGGCAAUAACAUGAGCAUUUAGGUGGUCACAAGUGACCCCAUCCCAUGAGCAGCAAUCUGUACCCUCCUUCCAUGAAUUUGUCUUGGGAUAAGAUUGAAGGCCAGCAAUCUCAUCGCAAUAAGAAGAAGCAUCCUCUGUUAUGGAAAAAGAGUCCUUAAACUGGAUUAGCGAAGAGCAGGAGUGAGAUCCUGAAGAAGAAAAAGAAGCAUAAAGAUGGGGAAAGAAGAGGCAUAGGCAGAGAAAGAGAUAGGAGGCCAUGUUCUGUUUGUAGAGGAAGAUGGAGGAUAGGGAUGGUAUUUAUAGGCAACAAAUAAUACCACAACAUUGGUGUUACAGUCUUUUUUUUUACAUUGAAAAGCUAUGGAUAUUAGAUUUUCAAAAAUUUUAUAAUAUAUGGAUUAUGACAUAUAAAUUAAUGAAAUCAUAUAAUUUUUUGUUAAUAUAUGAAUAUUAUGUUUGAAUGUAAAAUAUAAUUCUCAAGUUAUUUAUUACUUCUAAUAUCUAAUAUUUCAUUGUAGAAUAAUUAAAUUAUUUGUUUCACUAAUGAUAUUUUAGCACAUUAAAUAUGUAUUGCAGUUUAAAAAUAAUAAUGUAGAUUAUAUAUUAUUUUUAUAGUAUUAUAUAUUAUGAUUUUAGUAAAUUCAUAUAGUAGUAAUUUUAUUAAGAAUUUUAUUAAAUUAUAUAUCAUUUUAUUAAAUUAUAUUUAAUAAUAAUUAUGUUAAAAUAUGGUUAAAUUAUUUAUUAUUUUUAUUAAUAAUCUUAUUAAAAUUUAAUAACAAUAACAAUAAUCAUCUACUUAAAAAAAUUUUUGCUAAGGGUAUUUUAGUCAUUUUAGUUUUUUUCCUUAUGCUAUUACAACAUUAUUCCAUUCAACCAAACAGAAGAAUACUAUUACGGUUCUAUUUCAUUCCAUUCAACCAAACAAUUAAAUUAUAGAUUAUAGCUUUAUUCCAUUACAGCUCUAUUAAAUUACAACUCUAUUCCAUUAUAGUGAACCAAACGUACCCUAAGUAUGUAGGGCUGUCAAGCAAUGUAGAAAUUUGCACAGAAAAGAACAAAAUUGUGCACUACAUAAAAAUUCAAAGCAUGUGUGGCCUAUAUUCAUUUAUUAUAUUGCAUAAAAUUCAAGGCAUUUGUGUUGAAUAAUUUUAAAGCAUAUUUUCCACAAAACUUUAAUUGGUUGCCAUUAAAUAUGACAUAUAUUUUCUAUUAACUGCAAGAAAACUAUCCGGUAAACUGCAUCUUCUAUGGUCCUUCAAUUUUAUUUUUUUUUAAAGUCAUUUUAACUCUCCAUUUAAUAUUUUGCCUUUUUGAGCUUUUAAAUUUGCAUUGUUUAUCAAAUCAUCCCAAAAUGGAUGAAAAAGUUAACAUUUGUUAACUUUAUUGACAAGACAUACAUAUCGAUAUCAUAUAAACAAUUAAUUGAUUUUUAAAUUUUAUAUUAAAAUUUUCUAAGAAAUGAGGAAAUUUGGAAGCAUUGCAGAAGAAUGUCCAAUAAUUCCACACAGAUUAACAACUCUAUUGACUACACUACAGAUUAAUAAAAUUUUAUUUGCUGAGCUCAAAAAAAGAAAAAAGAAAAAAUAGUUGCAAUUAAUGUGUUUUUGGUGGUGAGUAGGGGAUUGAAGAAGAAAAUAGAUGGAAAAUUAAAUUAAGUAAAACAAAAGGCAAGUCUAGUUGUCCACUACAACUUUUUCAUUCUAAAGAAAUAAUAUUUUACCAGCAUCGUUGAAAAAUUAACACAAAAAGUAAGUCUAGUGUGGAAAAUUGAAAAAUUACAUUGUAAAGCUGAAGUGGAAUUUAGAACAAAAGCAAAACACAGGCCUUAAUUAGUGGUUAUUGUCAAAAAGUAAUUGGACACAACAAUUGCAACUGCAAGGUAUUUUCUGAUUCAUAUUAUUGAAGAAUUCAAGGCCCACUGUUCCUUCGCUUCAUGUGGAACUGAAGAAGAAAAUUGUGGGUAAAUUCAACAGAAAGCAAGUCUAAGUCAUGAAUUAAAGGUUGAGUAGGACUAACAAAUUCAGACAUUAUUCACAUUUGAGUCGUAAAGUCAUUAAUCUCUCAUUAGUGCUACCAAUAACAAUGUCUUUUCCAUAUAAGUAUAGGGUACAACGAUAAGAUUAAAUCAAAAUUAAAACAAAAGCAAAACAGGCUUAUUACUUACUCCUUAAUUAGUGCUUAUAGUCCAAAAGUAAUUGGACACACAUCAAUUAGAAUUGCAAGGUAUUUUCUGAUUCAUAUUAUUGAAUAAUUCAAGACCCAUAUCUCAUUUAAAUGUCCAAUAAAAAUGUCGUCACCCGUAAGUUAGGAUGCAACAUUUAAAUUCCCGAGCAUAAUCUAGCCUUUAAAAACCUUUAUUGAAACUUUAUGUAUUUGAAAACUAAAAAUGUUUGACCACCUUGGUUUAGUGAGGAAAUCGAAACCCCGUAACUUAGGGCACAAUUCUUCGAAGUUCCAAAGACGAUAUAUAAGUUUGCCUUUAUUUUAAAAAAACCUUGUCUCGAGAUAUCGAAAGGUCAUAUCCAAUGAGUUAGGACACAACGUUUCGAAUUCCCGAGAUAAGCUUUGAUUUGAAAUUUUUACAUUUUAAUUAAAGAAGGAUACUCGGUUACUUAAAUUCAACGAGGAAAAUUGGAGCCCAGUAAGUUAGAGCAUAAUCUUCUCGAAAAUCUUGGAUACCGAGUAUUACGUUAUUUUGAAAACCUUUGAAUAAAACGAUUGCAACACUUUGAUUAAACGCAACCUUUUAAACGAAUAAAAUGCGAUGGAACAAUAAUGUACAGCGCAAAGUGAUAAUUCGUAAACUAAAAUAUAUGCUAAUGAUCGACAAGGAAUCAAUGAAUACGGGUAAGCAAUACAAUACAUCAUAUAAGAGCAACAAUCUCAUAUCCCACAUUGUGCAAAUACUAACAAUAUAAAAUAAAAACUUAAUAUAGACAAUAAUGUAUACAAAUAAUAUAUAUAUAUAUAUAUAAAUGUUGAAAUAAACAAAGCGUAUAAUUAAAUAGGACCUAAAAAUAUAAACUAUGUAUACAAUAAUAGGUUUUUUUCUAAAAUAUAUGAACACAUUUAAAAGAGAACUUAACGUUAAUAAUUAUAAUAAUAUGAAAUUAAUAAUAUAUAUAUAGAAUAAAAAUAAUUUAAUAUAAAUUAUAUGUAUAUAUAUAAAAUAGUAUUAUAUAAAAAUAUUUUCAUAUAAAUCUUUAAUACAUAGAAAUAUAUAAAAAGUGAAUUUUAAAAAUAUAUUAUAACAUAAAAAACAUCAAAGAAUAUUCGCGCGUUAGAUAUGCUUUACACAAAAUAAUAGAAAAAUAUGAUAAAUUUAAGUAAUGAAACAUAAUAAAUUUUAAAUAAUAAUACAUAAUGAAUUUUAAAGUAAUAAUACAUAAUAAAUCUAAAAUGUAAUACAUGAUAAAUUUAUAUAAUAUUAAUGAUAAAUUUAAAAUAAUAAUAUCUUGUAAAAAAUUAAAAAAAAAUACAUGAAACUUGAAAUAUCAAUUCAUGAAAGAUUUAAAAUAAUAAUACAUAUAAAACUUAAAAUAAUAAUAAGAUAAAAAUAUUAAACUCAUUCACUAAAUUAGAUUUAAAGUUAAAUAUAUUAAAAAUGAAAUAAUAUACAUUUAAAUAAAUAAAAAAAACAUUAAAAUGAACUAAAGGAUUAAAAUAGAUUUAAAACAUAAAUAAAGGGUCAAAGUAUGACGUGCGAAUAACAUGGGAGCCGAAUGGGAAAUAUUCCAUUUCCUCAAAACGCAGCGUCUUUGCGUGAACCAAAUUAGAUUGAAACAUAAAAUGCGUGACCAAAUUUGACAACUGAAAUAAAAGGAUCAAUUCGAAUGAGUUAUAAAAAAGGGGACCAUUUGCGCAAAUUCACAUUGCGCUAUAAAACACGCGGAUCUGGAACCUGGUUCGGGUCGGGUCAUCGGGCAUGGCCAGUACGGUGCCGUUUUAGAGCCGUUGAAGUUGGUUUAUACGGCGCCAUUGCACGAUUAAUAUAAAACUCAAAUUAACACCAAUAUUAGGCCAUUUUAAACAGCCGAAAACCCUAGCCGCUCAAUCGCUCUAUUCCAUUACAGAUUAUAGUUUUAUUCCAUUACAGCUUUAUUCAAUUACAUAGCUCUAUUUCAUUACAGUAAAUCAAACGUACCCUUAGUAUGAAUGGUUGUCAAGCAAUGUAGAAAUUUGCACACAAAAGAACAAAAUUGUGCACUACUUAAAAAUUCAAAGCAUGUGUGGCCUAUGUUCAUUUAUUUUAUUGCAUAAAAUUCAAGGCAUGUAUGUUGAAUAAUUUUAUCCAAGAAGCAUAUUUUCCACAAAACUUUAAUUUGUUGCCAUUAAAUAUGUCAUUUUCUAUUAACUGCAAGAAAACUAUCCGGUAAACUACAUCUUCUUCUUUAGAUCAAAUUUUAUAAAAAAUAUUUGACAUUAUCACUUAUAUGGUCCUUCAAUUUUAUUUUUAAAAAAAUAAUUUUAAAUUUGCAUUUAAUUUUUCGCCUCUUUGAGCUUUUAAAUUUGUAUUAUUUAUCAAAUCAUCUUAAAAUGGAUAAAAAAUUAACAUUUAUUAACUUUAUUGACGAGACAUACAUAUCGAUAUCAUAUAAACAAUUAAUUGAUUUUUAAAUUUUAAAAAUUUUAAAAAUAAAACAUAUAUUAAAAUUUUCUAAGCAUUGCAGAAGAAUUUCCAAUAAUUCCACACAAAUUAACAACAAUAUAAACGCAAUGAUUUUCACUUUUUUUUCAUUUUCCCAAAAACUCAUUUCACACUUAGCUUUAUAAAAAAAAAUUUAUUUUAACCCUUAAUUUAAUUUUUCAUAUUUUUUAGCCCUUAAACCUAUGUUGUUUAUCAAUAACCUUAAACUUACAUUGUUUAUCAGAUGAAAAAAUUAAUAUCUAUUAAUUUUCCUAACGUGCAUAAAUAUGCAACUUCGUUUAAAUCUAAAAACUAUAAAAUAUCUUACAAUUAAAACUAAAAUUUUUUAAACUAAUGCAAACUUUUAUUAUUUGAUUGCUUUCUAGCGUUGCAAAUUACAUAACACUCUUCAAAUGUCUUAUUAAAUUCUCACUUUUACGAGUGCUAUGUUAAUCAAAUAAAAUUCAAUUCAAUUAAUAAGCUUAACUAGAGGAAAUAAGGACUUUACAUCCACCAAUUAAAGCUACCUAUAUGUACCCUUUUACAGUCUGCAUUGUUCCAUGUUUCCAUUCAUUACAUCAUUCCUUCAACUCUGCUAUAUAUUAUUACCGUCUCCAGGUAACCAAACCUUUUACUGCAAAAUUGUAAAAGAAAUUAUGAAAAAUUGAGACAUUGUUGAAGUUGGCUUGCAUGCAGACCAAGAAGCAGACCAAGCUGUCCGAGCCAUGCAAGUUGCAGCUGAAGCUUAUGCUGCUGUUUUGUUACUUUCAAAUAGAUAUUUUAUUACUUAGUUAGAUAUGAACUAAGUUGUUGAUAUGCUUGAUGUAAUUAGGUGCUGAUAGAUUGAUAAAUCAGCUUUACCAAGUGUACAAGCAAUGUUUAUCAAGUUAGUAAGCCACUUAGUGGAGUUAGGUAUGUGUUUAGGUAACAUUUUCUUAUUUUUGACCAGCUGAUUGCUUGGUAUAUGUAAUGCAAUUGUGCCUUCAUUCAAAUGUAAAGAAAUCUUUCAGAAAAUUCUUCUUCAUUUGGUCUUUACCUAAGCAUUUCUAUUCACGAAGCUCUUGCUGUUUUUGUUUUGUUUGUUGAGCAAGAUAACAAUGCUUUAUGCUUAAGUUUCUGUCAAAAUUUCUCAUUCUGUUUUCUUUGUUCCUACAGACAUGUUGAGCAAGAUAACAAUACAAGUUCAAAAGUUAAAAGUGAAGAAAAUUAAAUAAGUAAUUUUUUUAUAAAUUAAAAAGUUAAAUGAGUCAUUAUGGUAUAUAUAUUUAUAAUGGAUUGUAGAAGAAUCCAAUUAAUUAAUGCAUGCCAAUAUAUAUAAUAUCAAUCAUGGAAGUAAUAUAAAUAAAUGAAGUUAAGGUUGGGAUUCAAAUGAUGCAUUUGAAUGUUUGUAAGCACUAUAAGCUAAGGAUAUGCCCAUUUUUUUUUUUGUCUAAAUGCACUUAGCCACACUAUUAACAGUGAUUUUAUGAGUCAGGGGGUGUGUGGUGGUGGUGAUAAGGUCCCCCAAAAUCAAUUUUAGUAAUAAUUAUAUAUUGUAAAGAAACAGUCGCAUUAUGGGUCAAGUCCAAAUUCUUCCAUCCUAAUAAUUGCAUGCAUCCUAUGCUAAAUUACUUUUAGAUUAAAAAUAGAAAAGCAUAACCCCACUAGUCUAGGUUUUAUAUUUUAGAUGCUUACUAUCUAAGUGGAUGAGAAAUUGAUUAUGGUAUCAGUUUAGAAUAAAAGAUUAGAUUGGUUAAUUUAUGAACGGGUUGAAUCGGCCGAUCAAAUAAAUUGAAAUGAUUAUUGAAACUAAAUUGAAAUCCAUUAAAGAAGACAUAAACAACACCACCAUACAAAAUGUCACAUUCAAACAAACCAUUACAGAUAGUACGAAAUGCAAUGAAAGACAGAGGAAUUGGUACAAUAAUAAAGACAGACACAUACUAAUGCAACCCUUCACCAUAGGCAAAACGGUCUACAAACAAGAAAUUAUGAAAAUACAGCACUAAUUCUUGAACAUCAUUUGCAGUAAUUAGAUCCUUCUUCAUCUACUGCUGCGAUUGCCUUCCUUUGACUUUCUUCUUCGCCUCCUCUCAUGUUGGUUUUCAACCAAAUUCACCAACCAUUUCGGCUUUCCAGUUUGGAAAACAACAUAUCCCACGAACAUUCCGAACACUACUCCGCAUCCAUAACCUAUCAACACCACUUUCCAACCAAAAGCAAUGUUUGAUUUAGAGCCAUCUUUUUCAAGCACAUUUGGAGGUGGUGGGUUAAUGUUGUUGCAACCUUUCGAGACUGGAAACCCACACAGUCCCUUAUUUCCUUCAUAUGAAUCAUUUCCAAAUGUGUUGAAUUGUUUGCCUUGAGGAAUCUGACCAUGGAGUUGAUUUUCAGAAACAUUUAAGGAGGAAAGAAAUGGCAGAUCUGCCAAUCUAUUUGGAAUCGUCCCAGACAACCUGUUUGAACAUAGGUCCAACCAUUCAAGACUUGUCAAAUCCCCUAUUGAGGUGGGGAUAUUACCAUUAAGGUUAUUAUGAGAAAUGUUGAGCCCUUUCAGUAAGUUAAGCUUCCCAAUAACCUUUGGAAUUCCCCCUUCAAACUGAUUGUUUGAUAGAUCAAUGAUCAUCCACAUGGUGAAAAUUUUCACCAAUUCCCUAUCUUGUCCUUUCAUAACAAUUCCAAUGGAAUAGGUAUAGAAGUCACCUCCAUCAUCAUUCACCCCCAUGUACGACACUGUACUACCAAUCUUCUCUAGAUUUAUGAUAGCCUUGAAGCUGUUGAUGUAUCUCACUGGUAGGGGUCCAGAAAAAUAAUUACUUGAGAGAUCAAAAAUUUGGAUUUUUGAGAAAAAAGGGAUAGACUUGGAGCUAUUGACACAUAAGGAACCAUUCAAUUGAUUUGACUUCAAAACAAGAACUUGUAGCUGUGGAAGACUUCCCAACCAAUGAGGAAAUGUAUCAUUGAUCUUGUUGUUACCCAGAUCUAGCACUUCCAGACCAUUACAAUUAAGGACGGAUGGUGUCAAAGGCCCUUCUAACAGAUUUCCAUUUAAGUUGAAAUUACUCAAUUGGCAUCCCAUUGCAAAUGUUGGAGGAAUCGUCCCAUAGAACUUGUUCUUCUUCAGAUUCAAGAAUAGAAGGCUGUUGCUCAAAUUUCCAAAACAUUGUGGAAUUGUUCCACUCAAGUUAUUGUGGGACAAAUCAAGAAUUUCAAGAAAAGCGGCAUUGCAUAUUAAAGAAGAGACCUCUCCAUUGAAGCUAUUAUUAGAGAUCAAAAAGACAUUGAUGGUCGAAGCUGGAAUCGGAAGAUUUCCACUGAUCAAAUUGGAGCUUAAGUCAAGAACUUCAAUAUUCUUCCAUGGAAAGUGCUCAACUUCUGUCAAAGAGUUGUGAGAUACGUUUAAGUAAGUCAAAGAGUCAUUCCCCACCUCUUGCAUCCACCGUGGAAUCUUGCCUUCAAUUCUGUUGUAAGAGAGGUCCAAGCUUUUCAAACUUUUAAGCCCUUUUAAAAAUUGGGGGAAUUCACUAAGAUUGCAAGAUGACAAAAAUAAGCUUGUAAGAUUAACAGAAGAAGUAGUAUUAGAUGUUAAGGAUAGGCUGUUAUAUGAAAGGUCAAGAUAUUCGAGAUUUGGAAGGUUUGAGAACAUGCUAAACGCUAUGACACCAGUAAGAUUAUUUGAGGAUAAAUUGAGCUUGGUAAGAUUGAGAAAUUGGAAUAUUGAAGAUGGAAGAGGACCUUGGAGUUUAUUAUUCUCUAACUCUAUCAAUUCUAGUGAUUUGGAUUGGAAGUCCUUGAUAUGCCCACUGAAUUGAUUUUGAGAGAGUUUCAUAUCCUUUAAGGAGGGAGAAGUAUACAACCAUGAUGGAAGUGCUCCACUGAGUAAAUUGUUAGUUAAGUCUAAAGAUAUUAGAUUAGGAAAAGCGGUUACCUCAUCUGGAAUAGAACCUUUUAAUGCAUUUCCAGCUAUUCUCAAGUAUUCCAGCUGCGUUAGGUUUAGAAUUGACAAUGGAAUUUGUCCAUUCAAUUGGUUCUGCCACAAGCCUAAAUAAGUGAGUUGCAAGAGGUUCCCCAAUGAUCUUGGAAUUUGUCCACUCAAUUGGUUUUGCCACAAGCCUAAAUAAGUGAGUUGCAAGAGGUUCCCCAAUGAUCUUGGAAUUUGUCCACUCAACUGGUUCCCGGAUAAGUCUAAAUGAGUGAGUUGCAAGAGAUUCCCCAGUGAUUUUGGAACCGGUCCUGAUAAGUUGGAAUAGGAGAGAUCUAAAAACUUCAAGGACACAAGAUUACCCACCGAGUCUGGCAAUCCUCCAAAAAAAUUUGCGCCUGAAAUUAUCAAUUGCUCCAAACAUGAUAAAUUUGUGAUUGAGACAGACAAUCCUUGAAAGAAAGAAUUUCCUGAUUGAUCUAAGUACUUUAAGGCCUGUAGAUUAUCAACUCAAUCAAUGAAUUCUGUAGAGAAGGACGUCCAUGACAGAUCCAAAUGUUCAAGAUUGCUGCUCCGAUUCAACUUCAAAGGAUCAAGAUUGAGGUUUUGGUUGUCUCCCAAGUUGAGGAGAUUGAGGUUUGGCAAAUCAAAAAUGUUUUUUGGGAAUUUUCCUUGCAAAUCACAACCAGCAAGACUGAGAGACCUUAGAGAAGAGGAUAGAUUCAUGAAGACAUGAGCAUUAACAGAAGCCAUCUCCAUUCCAUCCAAAAACAGAUGUCUGACCUCGGUUAGGUUUUGAACAAGUCCCUCCAGAGCAUGUUUGUCUCCUACAAACCCUGUACUGGAAAGGUCGAGGUAGAGUAGGCUUGUAAACCGACCUAACUCGGAUGGAAUUUCGGAAAGAUUAAACUCAUUGUAGGCAAGGUUGAGUUUUUGAAGUUGAGGAAGAAGGAAGAGAGUGGAAUUGGAAGGGAAGUUGCCAUAUAGCCAACUGCAGCUCAAGUCAAGGGCAAUAACAUGAGCAUUUAGGUGGUCACAAGUGACCCCAUCCCAUGAGCAGCAAUCUGUACCCUCCUUCCAUGAAUUUGUCUUGGGAUAAGAUUUAAGGCCAGCAAUCCCAUUGCAAUAAGAAGAAGCAUCCUCUGUUAUGGAAAAAGAGUCCUCAAACUGGAUUAGUGAAGAGCAGGAGUGAGAUCCAGAAGAAGAAAAAGAAGCAUAAAGAUGGGGAAAGAAGAGGAAUAGGCAGAGGAAGAGAUAGGGGGCCAUGUUAUGUCUGUAGAGGAAGAUGAAGGAUAGGAAUGGUAUUUAUAGGCAACAAAUAAUACCGCAGUGUUACAGUCUUUUUUUCUUUUACAUUGAGAAGCUAUGGAUAUUAGAUUUUCAAAAUUUUUGUACUUUUCACAAUCAUCAACAACCACUUAGUCUUCUUUUUACCAUAUAUUUUUCAUUCUUAAAAUUGGAUGCUUUCUUUUCGCAAAAUCUUGUAUAUAAUUUGGUCUCCCUAAACAACUAAAAAAUUUAAGAUUAAUGAGAUUACAAAGUAGAUUAAUUUAGCGUUCUUCUCUAUAACACGUAAAGAAUGUGUGUAUGUAUUCACUUGCCUAUCAACCAAAGCUAAUUAAUGUGGAAAUUCUUUUCCACCCAAAAGAACAAAAUUGUGCUCUAUUCAUUAAGUUUGAGGAAGAAGAUUGCUGGGAAAUUUAAUCCACUGAUUCCAUAAAAAAUGUGUAUACUUAUAUAACCUCAUAAUUCAAAUCUAAAAUCUCAUUUGUUAUAAAUUCUGAUAAAUUUCUUUGGAAUUGCUAUUUUUCAUUCGCUAAUUAUUUCUCUUUUAAUCGAGUAAAAAAUUAAAACUAAAAAGACAUAAUGAUUUAUUUGUCAUUUUUUAACUUUACAAACAAAAAGUCAUUUUAACUUUUCAUUUUUUUUUAUCUCUUUUAAAUCACCCAAAAAAAAUGAUGAAAAAGACUAACACUGUUUGUUGACGUGACAAUGCCAUAUGAUCAAUAAUCACCGACAUGGUAGUGCCACGCUAUCGCCCAUUGGUGACAUAUUAACCUUUGAGUUAAACUCAAAUUACUCUUUCCUUUGUUAUAAAUUAAGAGUAUAACUAAUUUUGAUAAGAAAGAUUACUUUUCAUUAACUCAGUUUAAAGGGUUACAACAAGUAAAGUUUGGUCUAUUGCAGAAUUCACAUGCAAUGCGGGACAUUUACAUUAUGCAGAAUUCGACACAUAUAUUGGAAUUUUUGUAUUUCCACAAUCAUCAUGUUGUUCGUGAUCAACAACUACUUCUUUUUACCAUAUAUUUUUCAUUCAUAAAAUUGAUUACUUUUUUUUUUACCAAAGACGUAAAAUUAUUAACAUUCAUGAGAUUACAAAGUUAUUUAUCACUUCUAAUAUCUAAUAUUUCAUUGUAGAAUAAUUAAAUUAUUUGUUUCACUAAUGAUAUUUUAACACAUUAACUAUGUAUUGCAGUUUAAAAAUAAUAAUGUAGAUUAUAUAUUAUUUUUAUAGUAUUAUAUAAUAUGAUUUUAGUAAAUUCAUAUAAUAGUAAUUAUGUUAAGAAUUUUAUUAAAUUAUAUUUAAUAAUAAUUAUUUUCAAAUAUGGUUAAAUUAUUUAUUAUUUUUAUUAAAUUAUUUUUAAUAAUAAUCUUAUUAGAAUUUAAUAACAAUAAUCAUCUACCUAAAAAAAAUCUGCUAAAAGUAUUCUAGUCAUUUUAGUUUUUUUCCUUAUGCUGUUACAACAUCAUUCCAUUCAACCAAACACAAGAAUACUAUUACAGUUCUAUUCCGUUCCAUUCAAACAAACAAUUGAAUUACUGAUUACAACUCUAUUCUAUUACAGUGAACCAAAUGUACCCUUAAUAUGAAUGGCUGUCAAGCAAUGUAGAAAUUUGCACACAAAAGAACAAAAUUGUGCACUACUUAAAAAUUCAAAGCAUGUGUGGCCUAUAUUCAUUUGUUUUAUUGCAUAAAAUUGAAGGCACGUAUGUUGAAUAAUUUUCCCAAAAACUCAUUUCACUCUUAGCUUUAUAAUGAAAAAAAAGUUAUUUUAGCCCUUAAUUUAAUUUUUCAUCUUUUUUAGCCCUUAAACCUACAUUAUUUAUCAAAUAACCCUUAAACUUACAUUGUUUAUCAGAUGAAAAAAUUAAUAUCAAUUAACUUUGCUAAUGUGCAUACAUAUGCAACUUCAUUUAAAUCUAAAAAAUAUAAAAAUAAUUAAAUAUGUAUAAAUCUAAAGAUAUCCUAAAAUUAAAACUAAAAUUUUUUAAACUAAUGCAAAUUUUUAUUAUUUAAAAAAAUCUUAAAAAUUUUCAAAAUAAAUUCCAUUUGUUUUCAAAUAAAGAGAAAAAUUGAAAACCAUGAAAUGUUAAGUGUGCCUUUUGUUCAGCCAUUUUUUUCCCCUUUCUAGCAAAUUACAGAUCUGAAAAUAGUGAUCAAAUUGUCCUUGAUCGUCUAAUUUUGGUUAGGGGACAUGUUGGAAAAGGAUUAACCCUACAGUUAUAUUUUGUCUCCUCUCAUCAAUGGUAUUGUGAUACCCAAAGUUUGGUAUCAUGAUAUCUACAACAGUCUUGGGGAUCUUUGGGAGUUUUGGGUAUCGCGAUACCUUAUAACCAGUAUCACGAUAACACUGUUGAUGGCUCAAUUUUCCUUGUUUUUAACAUUGUUAUGGGUAUUACGACUUUCAUGCUUUGAUAUGCGAUAUCCUCUUUCUAGGUGACAUUUUCGCUCCUUCUGAGCCACCAUGGGCUCUCUGCAUCACUCACGAGCCUCAUCAGAUUCCCCGGGUGCCCUUUGGCCAUCUCAGGUCUCAAAAUAGUAUCAAAAUGCACACUAAUCAUUUAUUAAUAUAAAGAACAAAAACUAAAUAAAAAAACAACAAAGAUAUCUAAAUUCCUUGAAAAUAAGCUUUUAAGUGUGAUGGAGAGCCUAAUUUAACAUAUCAAUUUACAGCAGAUCAUAAACAUAAUUUGCGGAACAUUGUUUAAAUUUCGAACUUCUUUAUUAGUUUUCUUUCAAUAUUCUGUACGGUACAUUUGUAGUAAUAUAUUGUGCAGAUCAUAGACUACAUUGCUUUAUUAGUGUUCUAUUGUUAAUCUUUUAUUAUUAUUAUUAACACCACUUCCUUUUUACCAUAUAAUUUUUAUCCAUAAAAAUGAAGAGUUGAUUUACCAAAAAUUAGUAUUUCAUUUGAACUCCCUAAAGAAAGAAGAAGAAUUGAUGAGAUUACAAAGUAUAUUGACUUGCUCUUGCUUCCUUUAUAUGUAUGAAUGUGGAAUUUGGCAUAAUGCCAACUUAUUUUCCACGCAGAAGAAAACGGCGCUCUAUUCACUCCCUUUAACUUGACAAAAUACAGGACAUGUGAUCCACCAAUUAAUGUUUGACUAUCUCCAUCUCACUUUUUAUUAAUCAAGGAAUAUAAGCUUACUAUUUCAACAUUUCACAAGCAACAGCUAAAAUAAUAUUGGUCACAUUAUAAGACAAAAGUUAAAACAGCCUUCAGUACUUCAUCUACAUUCCACGUCAAAUCUGCAAGCAUCAAAUAUUGACCUUUGAACUCCAUAGUCCAUAAUAACAACACCAAUUUCUAACAAUUGCAGAAGAAUGUCCAGUAAUUCCACACAAAUCAACAACAAUUUGCAGCAUCCACUACAUUCAUAUGAAUUCCACACAAAUUAAGACUGCAAAUUCUAACUUGUUUAUACCCUCAAUGAAGCUACCUAAAAGAUAUGAAUUUUAUAAUAUUCUAAAGUUAAGUGACCAGAACAUAAAUUUUCUAAUAGAUUAGUACUUGAGGUGUAGUUUACCUUAUAAUAAAUAACUAAAAUAAAUUUGUGAAUCAAUUGCAUAAUUAAAUUAAGAUUUUCAAGCCUUUUACCAAACCAAACUUGAAAGGAGAAAAAGAUUCAUGAAAGAAUCCACUUUUAAAAGACUUUCACUUUUCCCAAGUCCAAUACACAAAUUCACAAGAUCCCACACUUUCAUUUAUCCUCUUCAGAAAGCAAGGUCCACAACAAGAGAUUAAUUUAGAUAUUAAUUAUUUUAUUUUAAUUAAGUGAGUUUAAAUUAAUGAUAUUUGUUAUAAUAAUUAAGUUAUACUUUCGGGAAGGUUGAUAAUAAUGUUCACACCAUAGAUGUUGUGAAGAGCCACUAAAAGUGAUAAUUUAUCUAUGCUGAAAAGGUGUUUGAAUAGAGUAUUGGACAAUGUCCUACCUAAAGACCCAAAAGGGAUGCCAAUUUAAGAUCCAAGGAAGCCUUCGACUUAUCUCACUUGUGUAAGGAGCAGCAGUUAUCUCUUUACUAUUAACAACAUAAUCAUAUUCUAUAAUUCACCUUUAAGGUGUCUUAUUCACUUGUUUAGGUCAACUAUACCAAAUUCAGCAUUUUAUUUCGCCAAACCAAAAUUGUUAUUUGCCAUAUAGGGAUCGCCAAGCCUAUAAAAGCCAAAAUCAUUUCAAAGAUUUGCCUCGUUUAGCUCGAUUCUUCAAUUUAUCUUCUCAAUCUCAAUUAUUAACGUUUGUCUCUCCAACUUGCCUCCUCAAAUUUAAUCAUUAAAACUAAAUGCAUUACGUGCUCACCAUACUACAAGAACAUAAACUUAUUUAUUUCAAGAGGAUCACUUUAUAAAUUUCCAUCAAUUAGGGAAAAAUUAUUAUACCUCUAUAAGUAUAUUUUAAAAUAUGGCGAUAUUUCAAGAUACCACCUAUCACAUUUCAAUAAAACUCAUUAUAUAUCUACCACCAUCAUAAUUAAGUAAUAGAGGCAUCAUUCUAUAUGGACACACAUCAAGCUCAUUUCCUUUUAUGUAAAGUCCUCUCCAUAACCUCUCAUAAUAAAUUUUGAAAAUAAUUAAUGUUAAUUAUUCACGUAAUUCUAAUUUUCAAUUAUUUCCUUAAAAAUUAAAAAUAACUACUCUGUUAAUGCCAUGUAGCUAUCUUGAUUAAUGAUUUCAUUUAAUUUGUUUUCCUCCUGACUGGGAAAUGUGGACUUGACAACAAAAUGAAAUUUGAGCAUGACACCUUAAUUUUGUGGUUGGUUUGACGAAUACUGAAGGUUGGUCAUCUUGAAACAUAUAUAAAAUUAAAUGAUUGAAUUAUUUGAAAUCAUGAAAUAAAAUAAUUAUGAAAUUAGAAUUUAAGAUUAGAGGUUAUUUUUAGAAAUUUAACUUUUUAAUUAAUUAAUUUAGCACAAAUUUUAUACAAGUCAUGAACUUAAUUUCAUCAAAUUAUAUUAUCCAACUUUUACUGUUAAUAAAUUAAGCGGUAAAAAAACACAUGUCUUGAUAUAAAUAUCAAAAUUGAUUAUAUUUAAGGUGGUACAAAUAAUUGCAAGAAAUUGUAAUUAUUAGGUAGUGAUUAUAACCUCUCAUAGUAAAUUUUGAAAAUAAUUAAUGUUAAUUAUUCACGUAAUUCUUCUAAUUUUCAAUUAUUUCCUUAAAAAUUAAAAAGUGUAAACUCUUAAUUAACAAAAAUAUAUAAAUUAUAAUGGUUAAGCAAAUAUGUCAUAAAUAUGUAAUUACAUCAAAAUUUAAUUACUAUUGAUUUCUAAACACCCCUAAAAUUUCAAUGAAGCUACCUAAAAGAUAUGAAUUCCACUGCAAAUUUUGUAUUGCUUGGAAUGAAUUGACUGUCAUUUUCUAUUACUUGCCACAAAAUUUUGUAUUGCUUUAAAUUCAGACAAGAAAUAGGAGAAAAAACUACAUGGAAAGAAAUUUUGCUAAUUCAAUUUCCCAAGUCUUUACACAAAGUUGGCUCUAAAUUAAAUUUAGUAAAAGAAAAGAAAACAUGUCUUAAUUUCUGUAUAUUAUAUAAAUCAGUUUUGUUACCUUGGAAUUCUGAUAAGUUCAAUUUGGAAUAUGAUUAAUUUUGGUUAAAUUGGAGUGAAUAUUACUAUUUCCAUUUUAGCAAUUAAAGCAACCUAUAUGUACCCUUUUACACUCUGCAUUGUUCCAUGUUUCAAUUCAUUAUAUCAUUCCUUCAACUCUGCUAUAUAUUAUUACUUUCUCCAUAUAACCAAACCUUUUACUGCUAACUUGUAAAAAAAUUAUGAAAAUACAACACAGAUCAUUGAACCAUUUUGUUCUCCUUUCUCCUUUACUGUGCAGUAGCAAUGAUUAUCGAGACUAAAUUGAAAGUCAUGAAAGAAGACAUAAACAACACCACCAUACAAAAUGUUACACUCAAACAAACCAUUACAGAUAGUACGAAAUGCAAUCAAAGACAGAGGAAUUGGUACAAUAAUAAAGACAGAGACAUACCGAUGCAACCCGUCACCAUAGGCAAAACGGUCUACAGAACAAGAAAUUAUGAAAAUACAACACUAAUUCUUGAACAUCAUUUGCAGUAAUUAGAUCCUUCUUCGUCUAUUGCUUCGAUUGCCUUUCUUUGACUUUCUUCUUCCCCUCGCCUCUUGUUGGUUUUCAACCAAAUUCACCAACCAUUUCGGCUUACCAGUUUGGAAAACAACAUAUCCCAUGGACAUUCCGAACACCACUCCGCAUCCAUAACCUAUCAACACCACUUUCCAACCAAAAGCAAUGUUUGAUUUUGAGCCAUCUUUUUCAAGCACAUUUGGAGGUGCUGGCUCAAUGAUGUUGCAACCUUUCGAGACCGGAAACCCACACAGUCCCUUAUUCCCUUCAUAUGAAUCAUUUCCAAAUGUGUUGAAUUGUUUGCCUUGAGGAAUCUGACCAUGGAGUUGAUUUUCAGAAACAUUUAAGGACGAAAGAAAUGGCAGAUCUGCCAGUCUAUUUGGAAUCGUCCCAGACAACCUGUUUGAAGAUAGGUCCAACCAUUCAAGACUUGUCAAAUUCCCUAUUGAGGUGGGGAUACCACCAUUAAGGUUAUUAUGAGAAAGGUUGAGCCCUUUCAGUAAGUUAAGUUUCCCAAUAACCUUUGGAAUACCCCCUUCAAACUGAUUGUUUGAUAGAUCAAGGAUCAUCCACAUGGUGAAAAUUUUCACCAAUUCCCUAUCUUGUCCUUUCAUAACAAUUCCAAUGGAAUAGGUAUAGAAGCCACUAGCUCUCUCAGCAUAUACCCCCAUGUACGACAUUGUACUCCCAAUCUUCUCUGGAUUUAUGAUAGCCUUGAAGCUGUUGAUGUAUCUCACUGGUAGGGGCCCAGAAAAACAAUUACUUGAGAGAUCAAAAAUUUGGAUUUUAGAGAAAAAAGGGCUAGACUUGGAGCUAUUGACACAUAAGGAACCAUGCAUAUGAUUUGACUUCAAUACAAGAACUUGUAGCUGUGGAAGGCUUCCCAACCAAUGAGGAAAUGUAUCAUUGAUCUUGUUGUUACCAAGAUCUAGCACUUCCAGACCUCUACAAUUAAGGAUGGAUGGUGUCAAAGGCCCUUCUAACAAAUUUCCAUUUAAGUUGAGAUUACUCAGUUGGCAUCCCUUUGCAAAUGUUGGAGGAAUCGUCCCAUAAAACUUGUUCUUCUUCAGAUUCAAGAAUUCAAGGCUGUUGCUCAAAUUUCCAAAACAUUGCGGAAUUGUUCCACUCAAGUAAUUGUGGGACAAAUCAAGAAUUUGCAGAUAAGUGGCAUUGCAUAUUAAAGAAGAGACCACUCCAUUCAAACUAUUAUUUGAGAUCAAAAAGACAUUGAUGGUCGAAGCUGGAAUCGGAAGAUUUCCACGGAUCAAAUUGGAGCUUAAGUCAAGAACUUCAAUAUACUUCCAUGGAAAGUGCUCAACUUCUGUCAAAGAGUUGUGAGAUACAUUUAAGUAAGUUAAAGAGCCAUUCCCCACCUCUUGCAUCCACUGUGGAAUCUUGCCUUCAAUUUUGUUGCAAGAGAGGUCUAACCAUUCCAAACUUUUAAGCCCUUUUAAAAAUUGGGGGAAUUCACUAAGAUUGCAAGAUGACAAAAAUAAGCUAUUAGAUGUUAAGGAUAGGCUGUUAUAUGAAAGGUCGAGAUGAUAUAGAUUUGGAAGGUUUGAGAACAUGCGAAACUCUAUGACACCACUAAGAUUAUUUGAGGAUAAAUCGAGCCAGCUAAGAUUGAGAAGUUGGAAUUUUGAAGAUGGAAGAGGACCUUGGAGUUUAUUAUUUCCUAGAUAUAAAUAUUCUAGUGAUUUGGAUUGGAAUUCUUUGAUAUGCCCACUGAAUUGAUUUUGAGAGAGAUCCAUACCCUCUAAGGAGGGAGCAGUAUACAACCAUGACGGAAGUGUUCCAUUGAGUAAAUUGUCAGAUAAGUCUAAAUGUAUUAGAUUAGGAAAAGCGGUUACCUCAUCUGGAAUGGAACCUUCUAAUGAAUUAUUAGAUAUUUCCAAGAAUUCCAGCUGCGUUAGGUUUAGAAUUGACAAUGGAAUUUGUCCACUCAGUUGGUUCUGCGAGAAGUCUAAAGAAGUGAGUUGCAGGAGGUUCCCCAAUGACAAUGGAAUUUGUCCACUCAAUUGGUUCUGCGACAAGCGUAAAUGAGUGAGUUGCAAGAGGUUUCCCAAUGAUCUUGGAAUUUGUCCACUCAAUUGGUUCCACGACAAGUCUAAACGAGUGAGUUGCAAGAGGUUCCCCAGUGAUUUUGGAAUCAGUCCUGAUAAGUUGGACUUGGAGAUACCUAAAAACUUCAAGGACACAAGAUUCCCCACCGAGUCAGGCAAUCCUCCAAAAAAAUUUGCGCCUAAAAUUAUCAAUUGCUCCAAAGAUGAUAAAUUUGUGAUUGAGACAGACAAUCCUUGAAUGAAAGAAUUUCCUGAUAGACGUAAGUACUUUAAGGCCUGUAGAUUAUCAACUGAAUCAAUGAAUUCUGUAGAGAAGGACAUCCACGACAGAUCCAAAUGUUCAAGAUUGCUGCUCCGAUUGAACUUCAAAGGAUCAAGAUUGAGGUUUUGGUUGUUUCGCAAGUUGAGGAGAUUGAGGUUUGGCAAAUCAAAAAUGUUUUUUGGGAAUUUUCCUUGCAAAUCACAACCACCAAGACUGAGAGACCUUAGAGAAGAGGAUAGAUUCAUGAAGACAUGAGCAUUAACAGAAGACAUGUUGAUUUCAUCCAAAAACAGAUGUCUGACCUCGGUUAGGUUGUGAACAAGUCCCUCCAGAGCAUAUUUGUCAAUUGUUAAUUGUUCCUCAAUCCCAGAAAGAUCAAGUGAAACCAAUUUUGACAGGUGGGAGACUUGGGAUGGGACUUCUCCUGCAAACCCUGUAUGGGAAAGGUUGAAGUAGAAUAGGCUUGUAAACUGACCGAACUCGGAUGGAAUUUUGGAAAGAUUAAAAUCAUUGUAGGCAAGGUUGAGUUUUUGAAGGUGAGGAAGAAGGAAGAGAGUGGUAUUGGAAGGGAAGUUGCCAUAUAGCCAACUGCAGCUCAAGUCAAGGGCAAUAACAUGAGCAUUUAGGUGGUCACAAGUGACCCCAUCCCAUGAGCAGCAAUCUGUACCCUCCUUCCAUGAAUCUGUCUUGGGAUAAGAUUGAUCAUCGCAAUCAAAAGAAGCAGCAUCUGUCUGAGUGAUGGAAAAAGAAUUCUUGAACUGGAUUAGCGAAGAGCAGGAGUGAGAUCCUGAAGAAGAAAAAGAAGCAUAAAGAUGGGGAAAGAAGACUAAUAGGCAGAGAAAGAGAUAGGAGGCCAUGUUAUGUUUGUAGAGGAAGAUGAAGGAUAGGAAUGGUAUUUAUAGGCAACAAAUAAUACCACAACAUUGGUGUUACAGUCUUUCUUUUCUUUUACGCUGAAAAGCUAUGGAUAUUAGAUUUUCAAAAUUUUUGUAUUUUUCACCAGCAUCAACAACCACUUAAGUCUUCUUUUUUCCAUAUAUUUUUCAUUCGUAAAACUGAAUUCUUUUCUUUUAGCAAAAUCUUGUAUUUCAUUUGAACAUGUAAAGAAUGUGUGUGUCUAUUCACUUGCCUGUCAACCAAAGCUAAUUAAUGUGGAUAUUCUUUUCCACACAAAAGAGCAAAAUUGUGCUCUAUUCAGCUACGUUUGAGGAAGAAAAUUGUUGGAAAUUUAAUCCACUGAUUCCGUAAAAACAUGUAUACUUAUAUAUAUAUAUAUAUAUAUAAUUUCAUAACUCAAACCUAAAAUCUCAUUUGUUAUAAAUUAUGAUAAAUUUAUUUGGGAAUAGUUAUUUUUCAUUCGUUAAUUAUUUCUCUUUUAAUCAAGUAUAAAAUUAAAAUUAAAAAGACGUAAUGAUUUAUUUGGUAUUUUUUAAUUUUACAAACAAAAAGUUAUUUUAACUUUUCCUUUUUUUAUCUCUUUUAGUCUUGAAAUUUAUAUGGUUUGUUAAAUCAUCCAAAAAUAAUAAUGAAAAAUACUAACAAAACUAGCACCUACGUGGCUGAUGUUGACCCUUAGUAGCUAAUGACAACACCUACGUAGUUGUUAACAGAUACUACACCAACAUUGUUUGUUGACAUGACAAUGCCACAUGACCAAUAAUUGUUGACAUGGUAGCGCCACCCCAUCGCCCAUUGAUGACAUAUUAACCUUUGAGUUAAACUCAAAUUACUAUUUCCUUUGUUAUAAAUUAAGAGUAUAACUAAUUUUGAUAAGAAUGGUUACUUUUCAUUAACUCAAUUUAAAGGACUAUAACACGUAAAGUUUGGUCUAUUGCAGAAUUCACAUGCAAUACGGAACAUUUACAUUAUGCAGAAUUCAACACAUAUAUGAGAAUUUUUGUAUUUCCACAAUCAUCAUGUUGUUAGUGAUCAACAACUACUUCUUCCUUAUAACACGUCAAGUUUGGUCCCAAAUUAUUUUUCCCACAAAAGAAUAAAGAGGAAGAAGACUACUACAGAUUUAACUAUCAAUUGUCUAUUGACUAUACUUUAACUCCACAAAAAAAGACUAAGACGAAGACUAUCAAUUGUCUAUUGACUAUACUUUUAACUCUACAAACAAAGACUAAGACUAUCACUUGUCUAUUGACUACACUUUAACUCGACAAAAAAAGACUUAAGACUAGGACUAUCCAUUGCCUAUUGACUAUACUUUUUAACUCCACAAACAAAGACUAAGACCAUCAGUUGUCUAUUGACUACACUUUAACUCGACAAAAAAAAGACCAAGACUAAGACUAUCAAUUGUCUAUUGACUUCACACUUGCUGUUGCUUCCUCCUAUCUCUCUCUCCCAAACUUAAUUUACAAGCAAUGUGGAAAUUUUGGACAUUUGCGCCACAAAUAAAAAAUACUUCCACACCAUUUGCAGUAUUGACUACGUUUACUUGAGGGAAAACAAAAACAUGAAUGCUGGGGAAAUUGCAUUAUAGAAAACAUGUGUAUCCUAUAUAUGUUGAACAAUACUAUCUAACAAACAUAUUUUCCGCAAGACUAGAAAAUUUGUAUGUCAUUUUCUAUUACUUGCAAGAAAACUACCGGGGAAAUUGCAUUUCUAAUUCAUCCAUAGGCUUUAAAUUCAAACAAGAAAAGGAAAAUAAUAUAUAUAUCAACAGGAAACUUCUAGGAGAGAGAUUUUGUUACAUCAAUUUUCCAGUUAUUUAAUCUUUACCCAAAGUUGGUUCUAGAUUAAAUUUGGAAAAAAUUAAAAAAGAGGACAUGUAUUUUUUAUUUUUGAAAAGUAAAGGAUUAUAACUCAGCCAAAUAAAAAAGUCACAAUGCAAAGCCAAGAGCCAAAGCCAAGCCAAGCACACACUCAACAAGCAGAAAAACCAACAACAUUGAAAACAAAAGCGAACCGAAUUGCAUCAUUAUAGUGUUAUCUAUACAAUCAAGUGAUGAUAUCCAUAUUAUUUUCCCACUAAUUAAUUCAGUUCAAUAAACAUAAUUUGAAUUAAUGGCCUAAAUUUUAAACUUUGAAGAAACAUAAGGCAACUGAAUGAAAAUUAAUAACCUCCAUCACCAGAUCUGCCCGCGCUUGUCUUCCUACGUGUCCUCCAAGUAAGUAAGAUAGUGAUUCUCUCCUUUAGAGAUCAUGAAGAUAAAAGAUUGAACCUAAACAUCAGGAAAAUAUGUCAGUGGACAUUACAGUCAGAAAAAACAGAUGAUGAAGUACAGCAUCCAAAAUCCAUACCAUCAUUCUUUUUCUUAGAUGUCAAUGCUUACUGCUACUGUGGUCCCAUUGAGGCAAAAUUCUGGGAAAUGUUUGAGCCUUUUACCACAUGUCCAUGCAGUGCCUGCUCACACAAUAUCGGAACUUUGUUCAGUCAAGUUCCUCAAAAGAUAGCCCUGUAAUAUGCAACAUAUAAAUCAGUGUCAGAAAAGGCCAAAGAAAGAGUAAGGAACUGAACUAGUAGAAAAUCAAGAUAACAUACCAUAUUAUCCAGUGCUUGAGCUUUCAGAGCACUAAUCUCGAUCAUUGCACAAUCAGGAAACGCAAAGCUAGCAGCAUGCCAUGUUUCAGUGACUCUGUCACUGAGUUUUAUUUAAAAAAAUGUAAAUUUCAGAAGGAAACAUGAAUUCCAAAGAUCAACGACUCCACUGAGUUUGUCGCUUCAAUAAAAAAUGGUAAGAACAACAAGACCAGUUAACAAUAAUCAAUAAUAACAUUUUCUACAACACUAAAAAUGACUCGUAGGGAUUAUAAAUUUGAGGGGGAAAUGUAUGAACAAUGGGAUCAAUUACACCUUACAAGCAUGUGAUAACUAGCAGACAUAACUCAUACAAGACCUAGAUGUAUUAUUGAACUCUUAUAUAAAAGACAACUGAAGAUGCAAAGCUUAAUUGUUAAGCUUUUCUGAUCCUUGAUAAGCAUAGUUUUAGUUCAGUUCCGAAAUCUAAACUGCUUUGCUAUGGGAUUAUUUUUAUAAGUACAUUGAGAUCCAUGCAUGCUAUUGCGAUUUAUUAUCUUUGAUUCCAUGGAAAUGACGGAAUUCAAACACCAAAAGGUUCAAUUACAUACUAGAUCAUGGAUGUAAGCCAAUCUACAACCUCCUCCCUCCUCGACCUCCAUUUGAAACCAGCAUGAUUUGAAUUCUCAGCCGCAUAUACCCUCACAAACUCCUCAGCAACAACAUAAAACAUAUACCUAACACUCCUUUGAGAACCGAUAACUGCACAGACAGAUUCACUGGUGGAAUCCUUCAAGAAAUAUUGAACCACACAAUUACCACACUCCUGUGAAAUAAACUCCUCCUGCCACUCGAAACAAUGACCAUUUCCAGACAUUUUGAUAGACAAUACACAAUUUGCUUCACUACUUACUCACAUAGCUAAAAGAUGUCCAAUGAAACUGGCAAAGGGUUCUUCCGAAAUGGUACAUUAGCUGCCAAAAAGACAACCACCAUACAUUCAUUCAUUCAGUAAACAGCUUCAAUAUGGCAAUAAGCUAUUAUCUUAAAAAUGCUUUUCUACCACAGAAGAAUAAGAACUAGGCAUCUCAGAAAAUUUGCUAAAUUAAUGACUUUGCUCCCUUCAAAAUAAACAAAUGAUUAACUGCAUUAACCCCAAAGAGGUCACCAUCAACCUCCAGUUGAACUUUCAAGGAAUAAUAAUAAACAAUAGAAGGAAAUAAGGCGGGAAAAAACUAACCAGAACUCAGUAAAAGCUAAGCCUUGAAGAUCUGCAGGUAGUAAGAGAAAAACCCCAUGACGACUAAAGUCCAAGCUUGAAAGGACCAAAAGGGAGCAACAUACGGCUAUGACUCACUGGACCAAGAGAAUCACCAAUGAAUAAAGGAAAAUGGGUACUUUCCUUUAUACCUAAGCAUACAAUAUUUAGCCUCAAAACAAGAUCCUCUUUGGGAAAAAUUCAGGUUUUCACAAAGGGUUUAAGAAAGAGGGUGAAAGUUAAAGAACUUGUCUUUGUUUUGAUGUGUGGUACACGAGAUAGUGAAGGAAAAUAGAGGCGAGGAAAUAAGAUGGAGUAAGUGGUGAAAAAGGAGAGCCUAAAAGAGACAUUUUUGAAGGGUAGUUUAGAAGCUGCAGAGGCUUUGGCAUACAGCAGCUGAUAAUGAGAGAAGACAAACCAGAAACGUAAGUACGACGACGACAAAAAUAAAGUUAAAAAAAUUUUAAGAAUUGAUAAAAUAACAUUUUGUAGCUUAGCGAAUUGGGACGAAGUCCACCAGUCUGAUGCCCAUAGAUCCACACCUGGGAUUUUCUAUUUAGGCUAACCUUCUAACUUCUCCCACCAGUCUUGAAACUUUGCAGAUUUUUUCAAUUUGAUCUGAAUUGUAUGAUAACAUAUCACUUUGAGAUUGGAAAAAAUAAAUAAUUUUUUUUUAAAUUAAAGAAAAAAUAAAGAAACUAAAUUUCAAGCAUGAAAAGUACAAAAGAAAGAACUGUAUUUAUAAAAGAUGAGUUACUUCACCCAGAUUGGAGUACCCUUAAACAAAUUUAUUCUUGUAGAGAAAGAAACUGAAUUUUGAUUUCAUUUGCUGUGGCAAAAUUUUUAAUUUUUAAUUGUGAAAGAAACAGUAUAACAUAUUGAAAGCCUGCCUACGUCUCGGCAGAAAAUUUUACAAAUUCUUUCAUCAGACAAUUUAAAUGAUGCAAUGCAAAGAUUCAUCAAUGUAUGAUCUUUUUACCAUAAAAUGGCUGUUUUACUGGAAAACUUGAUAUGUAUUGUCUUUCACAUUCUUCUGUGCUGAAUGGUCUCCGAAAACUGCAAUCAUCAACUCUAGAUAACCCUUUCCUCAGCGCUGCCAGAGCCGACCUUGUUGUUUCUGUUCUUGAACUCGCCUGUGUCAUCAAAGGCAGUGAGCAUUUAUCAAUGUUAUAAAAAUGGCAUAUCGAAGUCAGAUUUUACUUGACAAUACACAAAUAUAAGAAGAUAAUUCACCUUUGAUACUCUUUAGAAUGCUCGAGAAACUCUUUCGCGAUGUCUUUUCUUUCAUAUGAUUGCAAUACUUGUCUGAUAUCAGCCGGACUAUUGCGCGCUACAUCUGUGAACAAAUCAAAACAAAUGGUACUAUAAUUAACAAAUGAAUAUAGGAAACAUAAAAUUUGAACAAAGGCGAUGUGCAGAGGAAAAAGCAACAACAUAAGACCUACAUUCAAGAAAUGGAAUAAGGUCUAAAAGUGCGGUAUCAUCAGUCUCGAGCUUAAAUGGCUUAAUAGGGACACAAUUUUCUGGUUUUAGGCUAGAAUCAAAUGCAUGAGCACUCACAUAUAAAAUCUUGGUUGGAUCCCUGUUUAGCUUUGAAAGAUCCUGCCAACAGGAACUAUUUGUUAACAAUAAGGCUUCUUUUUAAGUAGCAGCUUGUAAAGGCACUGCCUCAUAGAUUAAUACACGUAGUAUUGUAGAAACUAAGGAGGCGAAAACCAAAAGCAAAAUGUUUUGGAGGGAAGAGAUUGACUAUGACAUGGUAAAAGAAUCAUCGAGGCACCUGUGUUAGGAGUUAGAUUGCAUUUUGCCCCAUUUACUCAGAAACUGAAUAAAUUAGUCCCUGUAUGUUAGAUAAAAGAAAGAGUAAACUAGACUUUCUGUUAAAAACUUCAUCCAUUGCUACUAUUAAAAACUGGUGCAGUUGAUAAAAUAACCAAAUAGUUACACAUAAUGUGUCACGUGUACCUCAUGCUAAUGUACAGGGACCAAUUUUUAACAGUAAAAAUGGAUGGAACUUGUAACAGAAGGGCUAGCUUGCUUUUUCAUCUAAUGUACAAGGAUUAAUUUGCCCAUUUUUUUAGUAGAGGGGGUUAAAUGCAAUAUGACUCCUAGUACAAGGGCCUCCAUGGUACUUUUACCACUAUAACAUACUCCAUAAUGCUUGCCAUUCGGAUAUUUAGUAGCACCCCUUGAUAGCCUAGAUCGUAUACAAUGGUCAGUGUCCAACAUUUCACAAACAGAAUCAACAUACUGCAUAGCCAAGAAAAAACUAAUUAUGAACUUGCAGGCAACAUCAGUUAUGAUAUACUUGUGUAUCUAAAAUGGUAGCCACAAUGACAAUAUCAAAUUACCAUAUUCAUCUGGUCAGAAUAGACGACAAUUUCAUAGAACUUUGCUAGAUGUUCCAGAAAGGCAUCAACACCAGGUCUUUUGAAGGUACGCCAGCCUCUCUCUCGCUUUGUCAACCAAAAACGGAACGUGUUAGAUAUCGUAAAGGUGAAAUGGAAAAUAAUUUUAAGUCAAAUUCUUACCUUCCAGUCUGUAUAAAGUAAUGUCUCGUUCAGAUCUAGGACAAGAGUGAAAACAUGCUGUUCUAGAGGAUGCAAAUCAGGAAGAUGCUUAUCCGAAGUCGGUUCAUUAUAUUCCUGAAAGUACGAGAUAAAAUUAUGAGAACAAAACAAAAGAUAGGCCGACAAUAAUAGAAAACCGGAAACAAGAGAAAGAAGAACACUCCUCACCAGCAAAUGUUCUUCCACUAACCUCCUGAGAUCCAGAUAAGAUUCAAGUGCUUUAGCCGGAACUGAAAUGUUACAAGCAAAGAAACCAGGAAUAAAUUGGGUUCGAACCAGAGCAUGUAAACAAAUCAAUCAUUGACCAACAUGAUAGACAGCAACCAGCACCAACGGAAUUUUCUUUUCUGUCUCAACAAAUCCAUUUAUAAUAAAGCAGCCCAAAUUUUCAAAAGGAAUAUUUUGGUAAAAGUACCAUGGAGGCCACUAAGAGAUGAAUUGCAUUUUGACCCCUCUACUCAAAAAAUUGGCAAAUUAGUGCCUAUGUUAGAUCAAAAAGUAAAUUGGCCCUUUUAUUAAAAACUCUUCAGUUAUUCUGUCAACCAUGCUAGUUUUUAACAGUAGAAAAGAACGAAAUUUUUAACAGAAAGGACCAUUUUGCUCUUUGAUCUAAUGUACAAUGACUAAUUUGCCCAUUUUCUUAGUAGAGGAGGCAAAAUGCAAUCUGACACCUAAUACAGGGGCCUCCAUGGUAUUUUUACCUGAAUAUGUCCGGGUACUAGACAGUGCAAACUGAAUGCCCUGUUAUGCAAAUAUUGUGCUCGUAAUUAGGUUGACAUACAGAACAAAGACUUUAGAGAUAAUUGUAACCAUGAACAAACAAAGAAGCAAUAAGAGAGAGGAACACAAUAACGUCCUCACCUGUCAUUGCAGCGGAGUAAAGCAAGCCUCCAUAUUUCUGAAAAAGAUAUGGAAAAAAAAAAAACUGUUACUUUCAUAUCUAAUUUCUUCAUAGUAUUAGGAUAAACUAAACAAUGGGUAUAUCACAUUAUUAAGACUUAGCUAAGGUACCGCAGAUAUACAUUCAAAUGAUCAAUCAUAAAGGAUGAACUAGGAGGCCCAAUGAUCAAUCAAAAUUACACCUAAACCAGUUAGCUGUCUAAAGCCAAUUGCACAUUAUAUCAAUCAAACAACUAAAAUAAAUAGAGAAAAUCCUUUAAAAUAUUCAAUUUCUAAACAAAAUCAAACUCACAUCAAUAGCAGAUCUUGACAAAGAAACCCAAAAUCACAAAUGAUCCGAUCUUUUUAAAAGGGGAAAAAGAAAACUUACUAUAAGAGAGAUAACCAGCAUAGCCAGUAGUUCCAGUAACACCAGCAAUGAGUCCGUACUUGACAAAGCUCCAAAUUUUCCCUCCCAAAACCUGUGGGGCAACUUUUGGCGCCGGAGGAGGAGGUGUCGACUGAUCGGAGAGAAUGGAUUGUGAAGAAAAUAUUGUUCCUUUAGAAGGAUCCGAACAAGACAUAAUGAUUUAUUUGGCUUUUUUUAACUUUACAAACAAAAAUUCAUUUUAACUUUAGUUUUUUUUUUUAAUCUCUUUUACCCUUGAAACUUAUAUGGUUCGUUAAAUCACCCAUUGAUGACAUAUUAACCUUUGAGUUAAACUCAAUUUGCUCUUUCCUUUGUUAUAAAUUAAGAGUAUAACUAAUUUUGAUAAGAAUGGUUACUUUUCAUUAACUCAGAUUAAAGGACUAUAACGCGUAAAGUUUGGUCUAUUGCAGAAUUCACAUGCAAUGCGAGACAUUUACAUAUACAGAAUUCAACACAUAUAUGGGAAUUUUUGUAUUUCCACAAUCAUCAUCAACAACUACUUCCUCUUUACCAUAUAUUUUUCAUUCAUAAAAUUGAUUACUUUUUUUACCAAAGAAGUAAAAUAAUUAACAUUCAUGAGAUUACAAAGUCUUCUACCUUAUAACACGUCAAGUUUGGCCCCAAAUAAUUUUCCACACAAAAGAAUAAAGAGGAAGAAGAAUGCUACAAAUUUAACUCCACAAAAGGACUAAGGGCCAGUUCUUCAUUAUUUUUGAAAAGUACUUUUGAAAAGUGUUGUGGAAAAGUACUUUUGAGAAGUACUUUUAAAAAAUGUGAGUGUUUGGUAUUGCUGUCAAAAAGUGCUUUUGAAAAAUAAAAUGUUCAUUUUAGACAUGAUAUUAUAAAGUAACAAAUAUGUAUUUAAAUAAUGUUCAAAUUAGUUAAUAUUAUGAUAUUUUAGCAAAAAUAUAAAAAUAAUUUAUUAUAACUUAUUGUUAAUAUUUUAAUAUAUAAUAUUAAUUUUAAAUAUUUCUAAGUAAUUAAUAUUAAUUAUUUAUUAAAUUUAAUUAGAAUAUAUAAACUAUAUUUAAAUAUUUAAAUAUAAUAAUUAAAUAUUUGUAAUUAGAUAUUGACACAAUUGUAUUAUUAUAAAAAUUAUUUUUUAUUUUUAAUUAAUGUUUUUAACACAUUUGUAUUAUUUUAUUUUAAAAUGUAUUUGAAUAUAUAACUCAUAUUAGAUAUUAACAUAACAUAGAAAACAUAAACCUUACAAAUUAAAAUAUUACAUAUAUUUGGAUUAAAGUUUUAAAAAGGGAUAAUAUUUAUAUACCAAAUAUAAACACUAAAAAUUUUACAAUAGCAUUUACAAUUUAAAGUGAAUAUUCAUUAAAUUUUACAAUAGCAUUUACAAUAGCAUCUCUUGUUAAUUCUAUUUCAAAACCACUUGAAUUGUUUGAUUCACCGUCAUCAUCGUCGUCAUCAUCAUCACUUUCUCGACCAUGCGCAUUUUCUGAAUCAAUAAUAUUCUCAUAUGCCCAGUUAAUAUCUUCGUAUUCCAUAAAAUCUGCAUCAUUUCGACCGAAAUAUUUUGCGGAUAAAAUUGUGUAUCGUCAUUGUAGCAACAACGAUCAUGGUUUGCUUUUCAAAACUAUAACUUGGCAUAUCCCUUAAAAUGACCCUUUUUUUUCAAAACACCAAAAGUUCGUUCAAUCACACUACAUAAUGAUGAAUGUGAAUGAUUGAAUAUCUCUUUUAUACCAGAUAUCGGUCUACCUCUACGAAAGUUAGAUAAAUGAUAUCGCUGUUAUUUUAGUACGGCACUCUUUAAUAUGUACCAUUUGCAAUACAUUUAAGUAAAAAUAUUAUUAUAUAGAAAGUCCUAAGGCAGUCAUUAAGAAAACCCAUGUAGUUACUUCAAACAUGUGGUAUUAUUGAUUAUCAAAGUAAUGGCAUUAAAGGCAUGACUUCCCCACUCCACCGGUCCAGCUGCAACUGCAUUAAUGGAGGAAAAAAGACACAUACCUAGCUACAAAAUUAUGGCUUGUUUCCAAACCUUACCAAACCAUGAACUCGACAUGAUACUUCAAACAAUAGAAUCACCAAACUAAAAGAGAAAAAAAGAAUUUCAAAAACUAGAAUAAAUUGCUUGGAUGUUUAAGUUCACCUGGGAAUAUAUAUAUAGAAAGGCAAAAGCUGAAGUAAAAAGCCAGUGUAACCUCCAGAGAGAAGCUUAAAAGAAUGGAAAUGCUAGCAUUUACCAAUCAGAAUUAAUAUAUAGUAAAGUAAUUAAGUUGAAAAAAAGAACUUUGCAAAUGAAGAAGAGACAGAAAACAACACACAUAAAAAAUGGACAAAGACUGAUGAUGUUUUGAAACCAUGCAUCCAGAAAAUAGAAUAAGAAGAGAACAAAUCCAUCAACCACCUCUCUGAAAACUAUCCAUUUGCCAGCAGAGGAACAAAAAACCGGCACCAGCAGAGGAACAAAGAACCAGCGAUGAGAGCAAAGAACCAGCGUUGUGUGUGUGGCUAAAAAAAGUAAAAGACCAGCCCAAAAGCACUAAAGCUAAAAAAUUCUGCUUAAGACUAUCAAUUGUCUAUUGACUACACUUUAAGUCGACAAAAAAAGACUAAGACUAUUAAUUGUCCAUUGACUUCACACUUGCUGUUGCUUCCUCCUAUCUCUCUCACCCAAACUUAAUUUACAAGCGAUGUGGAAAUUUUGGACAUUUGCGCCACAACGUACAAUACUUCCACACCAUUUGCAGUAUUGACUACGUUUACUUGAAGGAAAACAAAGACAUGAAUGCUGGAAAUUUUAACUAGUUUGUUCCGUCAAUGAAGCUACGUACCUAAAAGCCAUUUAGGAUACCAAUUCCUGUAAUUGGAUUAAUCUCAUCGUUGCUGCAAUCUUUUGACAGUGUAAUCGAAUCAUAAAUAGGUUACUCUGCAAUGCUAUUGUAAAUAUGACUCUUAAAUUUGUCGAUAGAUAUAUAGGUUCGGCACAAAAUUAAGAAUACACAAAGGCAGGAUGAAUUAUUCCAUGUUUGAACAUCUGCAACAUAAAUGCAUAUGGCAAAAGGGCUCAAACCAUACCUUAUGUUCAUGAAUUCUCAUCAUCACGUGUUUAUCAAUGCAACUCAAAACUUCAAUAAUUGAAUCUUUUGUAAUUCUACAUGUAUUUUUUUAUGGUGAGCAGUAUAAUGUUUACUAAAAAUUGAAAUUCAAGAAAGAAGACAUACAUAGUUGCACCAUACAAGAUGUUACACUCGAACUAAACCCUUACAAAUAGUACAAAAUGCAAUGAAAUACAGAGGAAUUGGUACAAUCAUAAAGACAGACACAUACCAAUGCAACUUUUCGCCAUAGGAAAAACUUUCUGACAGACUACUAAACAAGAAAUUAUGAAGACACAGCAGAAAGGCUUUAACUUCAUUUGCACCAACUAGAUCCUUCUUCAUCCAUUGAUGCGAUUGCUAUAUUUUGGCUUUCUUCUUCGCCUCUUCUCAUGUUGGUCUUCAACCAAAUUCACGAACCUUUUCGCCUUACCGGUUUGGAAAACAACACAUCCCAUGGCCAUUCCAAACACUACUUUCCAACCAAAAGCAAUUUUUCCUAUUUUAUUUGCAGCGCUGCAUUUUGGUGGUCCAGGAAUAUUUCCUAUUUUAGUCCCCCAUGUUAUUCGCAAUUUGUAAUUUGGUCCUUUCCUUUUAUUAUUUUAGAUUUUUCCCCUGAAUUACUGUUUUAAUGCCAAUUUAGUUCUUUGUUUGUUAUUAUUGCUAUAGAAUUAUUUAGUUUAUUAUUAUUAUUGGUAUUACUAUUAUUAGUUUAUAUAUUUACUUAUUUUUAUGUAUGUACAUUAUUUCAUUUUAUUAUAUACUCUUAUUUUAAUUCUUUUUCUUAUCUAAUGCAUUAGUAUAUAUUUUUAUGUUAAUUCAAUAUUAUCUAUACAUUUUUAAUGAGUUUAUUUUUAUAAUACAUUUUUCUUAAAAUGUUUAUUUAUAUAUACUUUUGUGCUUUAAAUUUUAUAUAACACUAUUAUAUAUAUAUAUAUAUAUAUAAUUUGUAUUAAGUUUUUUUAUUAUUAUUAUACAUAUAUAUACCAAAUAUAUCAUCGAUUUCAUAUUUACGUAUUUUUUUUUACUUAUUUCAUAUAUAAUCUAUUUCAUUUAAAACUUUACUUUAUUAUAUACUUGAUUUAUAUCAACCUUUUAUAUAUAUUAUUAUACAUAUAUUAAUAUUAUUAUAAGAAAUUUUCCAACCCAUAUGUAAUAUUUAUUUAAAUUAAUAUGUAUAUAUUAUUUCAUGUAUUUCAAUUUUCUUCAUAUACAAUAUUCACUUUAAAAUUCAUUUUAAUAUUAUUUUUCUCAUAGUAUUUAUUUUUUAUCUUCAUUUUUGGCUUAUUUCAAACUCAUAUAUGUAUAUUGUUUAUUUUAAAAUUUUACACAUAUAACUCAUUUUUUGUAUUGAUAAUUUUAAAUUUCCUUUUGUGUAUGUUUUUAUUAUUUAUUCUAAAACUUUUUACAUUUUAUUUGAGUAAUUUUAAAUAUUAAUGUUGAUAUUUACGUGUGAUGUAAGAUUAUUGCCCUCAUGUGUAUUGUAUUGCUUAUUUGUAUUAAUUGAUUAUUUGUAUUCAUUAGUAUACAUUUUGGCUUACGAAUUAUCAUUGAUCUUCCUUAUAAUACGUAAAGAACGUGAGUGUCAUGUGUGACCUAUAUUCAUUUAUUUUAUUGCAUAAAAUUCAAGGCAUGUAUGUUGAAUAAUUUUAUCCAAGAAGCAUAUUUUCUACAAAACUUUAAUCGGUUGUCAUUAAAUAUGUCAUUUUCUAUUAACUGCAAGAAAACUAUUCCCUAAACUGCAUCUUCUUCUUUAGAUGAAAUUUUGUAAAAAAAAAAUGACAUUAUCAUUUAUAUGGUCCUUCAAUUUUAUUUAAAAAAAUGUCAUUUUAACUCUCCAUUUAAUUUUUCGCCUCUUUGAGCUUUUAAAUUUGCGUUAUUUAUCAAAUAAUCCCAAAUAGAUGAAAAAGUUAACAUUUGUUAACUGUAUUGACGAGACAUACGUAUCGAUAUCAUAUAAAUAAUUAAUUGAUUUUAAAAAUUUUAAAAACAAAACAUAUAUUGAGGAAAUUUGGAAGCAUUGCAGAAGAAUGUCCAAUAAUUCCACACAAAUUAACAACAAUAUAAACUCAACAUUUUAGUUAUUGUCUAUUGUCCAAUUCACUUUUUUUUCAUUUUCCCAAAACUUAUUUCACUCUUAGCUUUAUUUUUAAAAAAAAGUUAUUUUAGCCCUUAAUUUAAUUUUUUAUCUUUUUUAGCCCUUAAAUCUACAUUGUUUAUCAAAUAACCCUUAAACUUAUAUUGUUUAUCAGGUGAAAAAAUUAAUAUCUAUUAACUUUGCUAACUUGCAUACAUAUGCAACUUCAUUUAAAUCUAAAAAAAUAUAAAAAUAAUUAAAUAUGUAUAAAUCUAAAAAUAUCUUAAAAUUAAAACUAAAUUUUUUUAAACUAAUGCAAAUUUUUAUUAUUUAAAAAAUCUUAAAAUUUUUAAAUUAAAUUCCUUUUGUUUUCCACUGUUGAAGAACUCCUUCAAUCACAUCAACAACUUCCUGCUGUUUUGCAAAUUUAUCUUGUUUUAUUUAUUUCUAAACCCAUAUUUCUUUUCUAUAACUCCAAUUAUUAGAUUGUUUAGGGUUUUGAGUAAUUUUCGAUUUUGGAAUUUUAGAUUUUUUAAAUUUAAAUACGAAGUGCUCUUCUUCUCCAAACCCAUAAUUUUUUCUGUCAAAUUUCAACUCAAGGUUUUACUUUCAACUAUAAAUAAAACAUAUAUUAUAUUUAUAAUGAUCUAAGAGUAGUAGAGUCAAUGCCGAUCUACAUGAAAAGGAGGGAAAAAAACAUAUAUUAUAUUUAUAAUGAUCUAAGAAUAGUAGAAUUAAAGUGAAUGGGUUUUUAAUAUUUUUUUGUGAAAGUUCAAAGACUGAUUAUUUAUGAGUUUGGAUGUGUAAAUAUUAGUUGGAAAAUUUUUUUCUUGCGCCAGUUGAUUUUUUCUAUAAAAUUUGUAUUUAUUUUAAAGAUUUUUAAAUUUUGUUACAAUUAUUUUUAUGAAAAUUUGGAAAUAUAAAAAUACUUUUUGAACUAUAAUUCAAGGAUCAAAUUAGGUAUUAAUCAUUUUACAGAUCAUAGACUAAAUUGCUUUAUUAUUAUUAUUAUUAUUAUUAUUAUUAUUAUUAUUAUUAUUAACACCACUUCCUUUUUAUUAAUUAAGGAAUUUUAAUCAAACAAGGAUAUGAAUCAGAAUUAAUAUAAACUUACCAUUUCAACAUUUCAUAAGCAAAAGCUAAAAUAAUAUUUGUCACAUCCCAUAUGUUCAUAUAUAACCUAUAAGACAAAAGUUAAAACAGCCUUCAGUUCAUCUACAUUCCACGUCAAAUCUGCAAGCAUAAAUUGACAUAAAUUGAGACAUUUUAUUCUCCUUUCUCCUUUACUGAGCAGUAGCAAAGAUUAUCGAGACUAAAUUGAAAUCCAUGAAAGAAGACAUAAACAGCACCACCAUACAAAAUGUUACACUCAAACAAACCAUUACAGAUUGUACGAAAUGCAAUGAAAGACACAGGAAUUGGUACAAUAAUAAAGACAGACACAUACCAAUGCAACCCUUCACCAUAGGCAAAACGGUCUACAGAACAAUAAAUUAUGAAAAUACAACACUCAUUCUUGAACAUCAUUUGCAGUAAUUAGAUCCUUCUUUGUCUAGUGCUUCGAUUGCCUUUCUUUGACUUUCUUCUUCGCCUCUUCUCCUGCUGGUUUUCAACCAAAUUCACCAACCAUUUCGGCUUACCAGUUUGGAAAACAACAUAUCCCACGGACAUUCCAAACACCACUCCGCAUCCAUAACCUAUCAACACCACUUUCCAACCAAAAGCAAUGUUCGAUUUUGAGCCAUCUUUUUCAAGCACAUUUGGAGGUGCUGGCUCAAUGAUGUUGCAACCUUUCGAAACCGGAAACCCACAUAGUCCCUUAUUCCCUUCAUAUGAAUCAUUUCCAAAUGUGUUGAAUUGUUUUCCUUGAGGAAUCUGACCAUGGAGUUGAUUUUCAGAAACAUUGAAGGACGAAAGAAAUGGCAGAUCUGCCAAUCUAUUUGGAAUCGUCCCAGACAACCUGUUUGAAGAUAGGUCCAACCAUUCAAGACUUGUCAAAUUCCCUAUUGAGGUUGGGAUACAACCAUUAAGGUUAUUAUGAGAAAGGUUGAGCCCUUUCAGUAAGUUGAGCUUCCCAAAAACCUCUGGAAUACCCCCUUCAAACUGAUUGUUUGAUAGAUCAAUGAUCAUCCACAUGGUGAAAAUUUUCACCAAUUCCGUCUCUUGUCCUCUCAUAACAAUUCCAAUGGAAUAGGUAUAGAAGCCACUUGUAUGAUCUUCCACACCCAUGUAUGGCCUUGCACUAGCAUUUUUCUUGAGAUUUAUGAUAGCAUUGAAGCUGUUGAUGUAUCUCACUGGUAGGGGUCCAGAAAAAUAAUUGCUUGAGAGGUCAAAAAUUUGGAUUUUAGAGAAAAAAGGGCUAGACUUGGAGCUAUUGACACGCAAGGAACCAUGCAUAUGAUUUGACUUCAAUACAAGAACUUGUAGCUGUGGAAGACUUCCCAACCAAUGAGGAAAUGUAUCAUUGAUCUUGUUGUUACCAAGAUCUAGCACUUCCAGAUCAUUACAAUUAAGGAUGGAUGGUGUCAAAGGCCCUUCUAACAGAUUUCCAUUUAAGUUGAAAUUACUCAAUUGGCAUCCCUCUGCAAAUGUUGGAGGAAUCGUCCCAUAGAACUUGUUCUUCCUCAGAUUCAAGAAUUGAAGGCUGUUGCUCAAAUUUCCAAAACAUUGCGGAAUUGU
rnacentral:lncRNA from 1 species